rnacentral:lncRNA from 1 species
GGCAUCAUGGUAUGGUACUGAGGCAUUGCGGGAGCCAUAGGCUGCGCAUAGUAUAUCUGAGCUUGAGUAGGAUCAGCAAACUCAUAACCAUAAUUAGCAGUACCAGUAGAAGCAGGGGCAACAGACUGAGAUGGAUGAUGAACUUGAGAGUAACCAAUGUAUUGCUGUUGAUGUUGGCUGGACGGGACCUGAACUAACUGUGGUGCGCCUGGAGUCGCUGUUCUAUAAGCAGCCAAUUCAGGUUUCACAAUGGGAGCAUUUCUCAUGGGAUUGAAAGUGCUAGGAGGCGCCAUGUUGGGAUUGGGAGGUGUUUGAUUUCGGCUAGUAGUUGUCGAUUCAUUAAUACUGGGUUGUUGCACAGGCAAAUUGUAAGCUUGGGGUUGCCUUGUCUGCACAUAGUACACAGGGUACUGCGAAUCCAUGUGAGGCUGAAGCUGGUGAUUGUGCUGCUGCUGCUGCUGGGGAGAGUAUACAGGAUAAUAUGCCGACAUGGGCACUGCUCCUGUGGGAUGAUGUUGAAUAUAGUGAGCACCAGCAUGUAUAUAUUGCUGUUGUUGUUGUGGUUGUUGCUGCUGCUGCUGCUGCUGUUGCUGUUGCUGUUGAUCAAAUUGGUGUUGCAGUACAUAACCAGAAUCCUGAACCUGUUGAUGAAUCUGAACUCUAGUGUUCGGAUCAGAGAAAGCAUUGAUCUUUGAAUCAACAGGGUUAGCAGCAACCCUGUUCGCUCCAGAUGGGAUUUGCAUAAUUUGGUCUUGAUAAAUCACGGGUUUUUGUCGAUUUAUAGCAUUGCUUAGACUACUAUCACUGAAACAUCAAAACAAAUACCAGCAAAACCCAAUUCAAAAUCUAAUAUUUUCUUCCCAUUUAAACUAACAAUCUAAUCGGAUCAUUCAGAUUUAUUUAUUAAAUAAAGCUCAAAAUAAUAUAAAAAAGAGUAGCAAAUUAAGUACCUUGAAACUGAAUCUGGAGAAGGUAAAUCAAUAGCAGCACCGCCGCCACUGCCUGACCUCUGUUGAUUCUGGGGAGUCAAAGUCUGCAUCUGCGUCUGAGGCUGUGGCUGCGGCGGCUUUCUAUAACAAACAGGAACCCCGUGGUCGGAUCUUUCAUCAUCAGAGAAAACCCGAUUCUGAUACUCACCAACAACCAUUUGACCGCCAACAGGCACACUCGACACCGCAAUUGAAACAGGCAUCGGCGGCGGCGAUGACAGAGCCGCAAAUCCCUCAUCCUGCCUCUGCCCGACACGGCCACCACCAACAGUCAUUUGAGCAAGUUGAUCCUCGAUCCCCACCACUUUCUGAUCUCUAACCCCACCACCAUCCUCCACGUGAACCCUUAUCGGAGGCAAAUUCGCAAGCGAAGGCGAAGAAGAAGUCGAACCAAACGACGACGUGGUCUCCAACAUAGGAGAAUCCGGAACUGAAUGAACAUCUUGCUUUACAACUCCCUUAUUCGACCCCUCCCCAUCUCUACCACCACCACCAACAACUAAAUCAGCGUUACUGUUAUUAUUACUAUUGCUUUCAUUAUUUAAACCAUCACUGCUAUCAUUAUAAUCAAGACCCAACAAACAAUUAACCGAAGCAGAAUCCGAAAACCCUCUGUUCAACAACCCAGCAGCCGCCGCCGCGGCAGCUCCAUUCAAAGCGUUCAAGAACCAAUCUUCUGAUUUCGCACUGUUUUCAAGAAUUGGCCCAAUCGAUUGAGACGACUCCGGCUUCAAAGGGAACAAAAAGAGCCGCAAUCGCGAUGGUUUCGGACCGUUGUUGCUGUUCGUCCGGUCAUACUCAUCAAUCAUGUUCUCUAAAUCUUCAUCUGUAGUGACGGAAAUCAGGGAAUCCAAGUCUUCGCUUGGAAGUUGAUAUUUUAGAAUGAAGGGUCGGGAGUUAAGGAGAGUGUUGGAGAGGCGAGAUGAGAGUGAGGAGAGAGUUGAGUGGCGGUCGACGACAACGAUGCGGGUAUCGCCCCCUACGUAACACAACGACUUGUCGUGUGGGCGAGGGACUAUGUGGCCGCCAUAAGAGCACAUGAGGCGGAGUUUUGAAGAGAGAGGGAGUGGUGGGUCGUCGAAGAAGUUGGAGUCGGUGUUGCGGGAGCGAGGGGAAGAUUCGACGGAAUCCGGGUAGAUAGUAGGGGUGGCGGCGGUGGCGGACGGUGGGGGAGGUUGAGGAGGUGGUGGUGGGUCCAUGGCGGAUGGUGGUGAGUUGGAAACGGAAGAGAGAGAGGGUAAAGAGGGAUGCGGUAGUGGGAAUUGAGGCUCUUAUAGGUACUCCACACCUGGUCUGGCGUCUAGGUGGGUCUUCUACUCCAGCUGUUACUUUUUCUUUUUAUUUUUCAAAUGUUUAAUUAUUUCAUUUAAUUUUAACAGUAUUUAUUUAUAUUAGUAUUUUUGGUUUUUAAAAACUUUUCUGGGAGGGGGUGAAAAUCAGUGGGGACUGAUGAGAGGGAAAAGGAGAGAAGACAAGUUGAGAUAAAAACUGAGAUGGCGUUGACAGCUAGCUUUUUGAUUAGAUAUAUAUUAAAACAAUUCAGUUUUUUUUAUAUAUUUUUACAUGAAAAUUAUUAAAAAAUAUUAUAAAAAAUAUUAAUUUAAUAUUUUUCAAGGCAAAUAUAUUUUUAAACACACUCAAAAACAUGUAAAAACUCAAAUAUACCAAACAACAACUAUAUUAGUUUUUGGACUCAAAACUUGGAUUGAUGCACCUGGAAGCAUUAACAUGUCGAUGACUAUAUAUAUGUUUAUGGAAAAGAAAAAAACGGAGGAGGAGGAGGAGGAAAAUCCGCAGGAGUCCAUGAACCACCCAUGAUUCAGUGAAAUGUCUAAUAAAACAGACCAGUACUGAACAGCUUCAAAUGCAGGCCAUUUCAAUAAUUAAUAAAUAUAAGAUUAUUGUAGAAAAUUAAUGAAGGCAUAGUCACGGAUGAUAUAAUCAUUUUCUCAGGCAAUCUAAGGGCAUCUUUAAUCGCAAUAGCUAUUUGAAAGAAUCAAUUAAUCAUGAAUAUAGUAUUUUGAAUAAUAUAUUUUCAUGUUUUUUUAUCGGUACUUGAAUGGAAAAGGGGCAUUUUAACAAUGUAUUUUAUAUUUUAUCAAAGUUUAAAGAGAAAAAAUAGUUCAAUUUUUUCCCUUAAUUUUACAUGUACGAGAUAAAAAGAGAUUCUAGCAAAAAAUUCAUGUGAUUUUUUGGUGUGUUUGCCAUUGCGUUUCGAAAGUAUUUUUAAAAAAUUUGAAAAUUUUUUAAUUUUUUGUUUCAAAUUAAUAUUUUUUUAUGUUUUCAUAUCAUUUUGAUGUGCUGAUAUCAAAAAUAAUUUUUUUAAAAAAAUAUAUAUUAUUUUAAUAUAUUUUAAAAUUAAAAAUAUUUUAAAAAACAAUUAUCAACACUCUCUCAAACACACUCUUAUUAUGUAUAUAUACUAAAAAUACAGGCAGGAAAUAGUUAGAAGAUCGUAGUUUGAUAUCGGCUACAAUGACAGGUGACAGUGAAAUAGAUCGAAAAGUCUUGAAUGAUCAUGUAAUUAUAACCAAGCUUAUAGCAUAGUAAAGGUAUAAAUAAGCAAAUUCAGCACGAACUUAUAUCGCGAGUAUUAUAACGACAUCUACGAUGUGAUGACGUGUUCAUAACAAGAUCUUCCAAAUUUGCUUAGUUUGUCAUGAAUAAAUAUUUUCUGUCUAUACACUUGAAACAAUAAAAGAGCUCGUGUAAAAAUACAAAUAGAAAAAAAUCUUAGAUAGAUAUAUUUUUAUUAUUUUUAUUGAGUCUGAAUUUUAUUUUCUAUCCCCUUCUUAUAUGUAUUUAAAAAAAGUGAAUUUCAGAAAAUAAAUAAUAGAAUUUGAAUAAUUACUUAUAAAAAACAAAACUUGCCGUGACAACAUUUGUCAGAUGAAAAUCACCAGUAAAUACGUGGGUUCCAUUUGAAUAAUUAUAAUUCCAUCCAUGAACAUAAAAUCACGCUCCGAAAACGCGUUUUUUCUUAAAAAAAAAUAAAACAAACGGGAGGGAAAUUAAAUUAUAGGGUACCAAUUGCCUGCAAAAACUUUACACUCUAGCCGAGAACGGUCUGCAUGCCGCCGCAACUUUAGCGAUGCGAACACACACCACAGGUGACGCGAUCAUUCUGCAAGCUUUUCAGUUGUUAUUUGUUUUUUUAAGAAACUGUCAAUGUUAAAAAUUAUGCCAGAAUAACACAAUUUAAAAGAUAAAAUAAACAUGAGUGGUGUGCAGCUAAACUUGAUAAAACUCGAAAUUUGUUUUUCUGGUAAUCAUUUAAUUUUUAUAAAUCUCAAAAUUAUUGAAAAUUUAUAUGAUUAUUAAUUUUAAAAUUUAUAAAAUUAAUUGAGAUAUACACAAAUUAAUCCAAACAUCUAUAUUAAUAAAAAAAAUAACAAUAAUACAAUAAUAUAAUAUAUUCUUUAUCUAUCACUAUUAAAAAAAUGAUUUUAUAACUUAUAGUUAAAAAUAACAAUAUUCCCGAAAGACUAUUAAAUGAGCAUGAAACAGGAGAGAUAAAAAAUUGAAAAAAAAGACUGGAAACACUAAAUUUAAGAUUAAAACAUCAUAUGUAUCAUCAAAGUUCUCAUUAAGAUUAAUUUAUUGAUGCAAAAAAAUCACAAAUAAUGAUUCAAAUGGAUCAUAUCUAUUGCACAAAUAUUAAGGAUGUCCCUUUGUUUUUUGUGAUAAGUGUGAUCUAUUCGAGUUAUUUUUUGUAAUUUUUUUUAUAUUAUUUGAUUCUUUUCAUCAAAAAUUUUAUAAAAAUAUUGAUGGUACUGUAAUCGGAGUUUUGAUAUAUAUAUUUUUUCUCUAUAUCCUCUCAUUUCCAUUUAAUAAUUUUUAAACUAUCUCUCUAUUUAUAUUAUAAAUAACAAUGAGUUAUAAAAAUCAUGUUUUUCAAUCCUAAUAUAUGUAAACCGUGCUAUUAUAUAAAAAAAAAAUCAAUAUUUUUUUUUAGAAAAGAACUUGUUAAAAAAAAAAUAGCCGACUUUCCGACUAAAAAAUCAUAGGCUGACCCACGUGCGACGCGACACGAAACACGGUGAUAUUAGCUGGCUGCCAGUUGAAAAUUUCGAGUAGUGAUGCUAUUGGCGCGUGUCAGGAUGGAGAGUGGGGGAUAAUGACAGGCGGCGUCCAUGUAGAUGCUGUGCUGUAAAGCACAGUAACGGUAGAAUUGCCCUGGCCACGUUUCGUUUCACCACUGAACAACAACAAUAUAAAAGUUUAAAAUCCAAAAAAUCAGGUGCUUCUGGUCGACCAUGCAUGUUCUUGUGCUUAUGGACUCUGGUAUGCACUCGGCGUUUGGGAUGGCAGUAAACAAGAUGGUUUUGCUCGAAUUAGUUAAAUAUUCAUUUAAAUUUACAUUAAUAGAUUGAAUAUUUAAUGAAUAGUUAUUAUUUGGAUCAGGUUUGGAUAAAAUCUAAUAUGAUAAUUUUAAUUUUGAACAUUUAAUAAUUCAAAACUUGGAUGUUUAUAAUGUUAUUUUUGUAGAGUUUAUAAAAUCUUUAUUACUGCCAUUAAUUAUAUCAUAUGUGUAUCUAUUAUCAUCCCAGAUUGCAACCGAAUUUUAAUUAGGGUUAGGGUUUACUAUUUUAUUUAAAACCAAUUAACAUGUCAUGUCAAGCAUGGCAUGUUUGCGGAUAAUGUGGCGCCCGAAACCACUGUCCAGUUCACUUGCGUUUGUUCAUUUUAAUGUUAUUUUGACAUGAACGUACGUAAUAGCACAUACAUUUUAUAGGACAUGAAUUAUGACUCCUGUACUGUAAAAUUAGCAAUUAUUUCAUCCAUUGUUAUAAUAACUUAACAUGCAAAAUAUUUUAAAAUUAUUCAUCAUGGAAAAAUAAAUUUCAUAUUUUUUUAUAUAAAAUUUUAACAAGAUUUUCUCUUUUUUUUUCCCUCAAUUGCAUAUAAAAUACUGAGAUAUAUUUUUUUAAUUUUUAUUUUUAUUUUAGAUUUUUUUGUGUAAUUUUUUUUAUUUCAUUCUUUAACGUUUCAUUUUUUAUGGAUCGGAUUUCAUGGUCUUAUAAUGUAUAGUGUUUAUGUUCCGAUGACUUGAAUCACCGGUUUGAAAAGUUAAUAUAUAAGGGUUGAUAUAUAUAUAUUUUUUUAUUUUCUUUUAUGACAUUGUUUUUUUAAUGUCUCUGUGAUUUUUUUAAAAUUUUUUUUAUCAAAUUAUCCUGAUUUCUUGAUUUAAGACGCAGAUCACUUACCGGGUUAAUAUGAGCUAACUCACCCUUAAUGUCCAGAUUACAUGUCUAAAAUAAAAAAAAAAAUUAUUGAAUUGGGAAGCACUUUUUUAAAAAAAAAAAAUUAUUUUGAUCCUUUGAUUUUUUGAAUUUUUCAUGAUUGAUUUUUUUAAUUUUAUAUUUUAAUUCUUAAACUUUAUUUUUAUCAUAAUUUAGUUUUGGGUUCUUGAAGAUGAGAGAAACAAUAAUAGAAAGGGAGAAUGGAGAGAAAAACCGUAAAAAAACUAGAUCUUUAUUUUCAUCAAUUAUGCUUUAUAAAAUAAAAAUUAUUUCUACUUAAAAAAAAAAUUAAAUACAAAAUGAAAAUUAUUCAAGGCUCCAGUCAGGGGCGAAGGUAGGAUUAUUUGUUAGAAGGGGCCAAAAUUAAUAUAAUAAGAUAUAAUAUUUGUUUUAAUUUAUUAUACAUAAGUUGUGAAACAAAACCUACAUAAUUUAGUUUUAUUCAAAUAACUUAUUACAAACAUAUAAUGAUCGACCUUUGUAUAAGGUAAAAGGUUUGGAGCAAUACCAAAUUGAGUCAAAGCGAUGAAGUUAAUUCCAUCUUUACUACAAACAUAUAUGUUUUUAUUUAUGUUUUUGAUCGACGGCAGGAUUUAUAUUAGAGUAUAUAAGAAAUAUUAGCUAAAACGAAACAUUAUUUAUGUUUGAUAAACUUUGAAAUAAAGCAAAAAAUAAUAAAGAAUGAUUCUUACAUAUUUAUUUUAAUUGUGCUCGUCGUUCUUUCAUAUAAUAGAAAUCAUCGAUUAUCAUAUCAAUUGUGAAUCUUUCAGCAAUUUCUUUUUCUACAUAGACAAUCAAAUAAUUUGCAAGAAAAUCAUCCUUCAUCCGAUUGCGAAGUCUUGUUUUAACAAUCUUUAUCGCUGAAAAAGCUCGUUCAGUAGGCUGUACUGAGUUAUCAAUAUAUUUUUUUUUUCAAAAAAAGAAUCACUUUUUCUUAUUUUGUUCAUGGUUCAACCUAAAAUCAAAACAUAUAUCAUAAGAAAAAAAUUGAUAAUUUUUGUGGCUUUGCUAAAAACAAAACAUAAAAAAAAUCCAAGUAUAAUCAAAACAAACCAAUAAAAUAUAUCUAAUUAAUUAGAAAAAAAUCACUAUAACAAUAAUUCAAAAAUUUUUUGGUAGAACCAGCAGAUCUGAGAAAAAAAAGAAGCAAAAAUGGUAGAAUUAUAUAAAAAAACCUCAUCAAAUUAUUAACAAACAUCUCAAAAUAAAACAAAAAUAUAUUUUAAAUUUAAGUUAUCUUGUUUUGUUUGAUGAAAGAUAAAUUAAUUAGUAGCUCUGCUUCAAUCUUUUUGUAGAAAAAUUUUACUCGCGAUUUAUGUUUUUGAUCGGCGGCAGGAUUUAUAUUAGGGUAAAUCAGUGGCUCUGUUUUUUAUUUUACAAAGUAAUGCAUUUAUAUUUUUUUCUUUUCCAUGUAGGUCAAGAGUAAAUUCAAAGAAAAUCAAAAAUAAAAUCACACUUAAUUUAAGAGGCCCACCUCUUUAAAAUAAAAAAAUAUAACACUUUUUUAUUAUUUAAUUACCUAAUUACAUAAUAUAUAUCUAUAUAUAUAUAUUGCAAGGGGGGCCCGGGCCCUGCUUGCCCCCUGCUUCCGCCCCUGGCUCCAGUACUUGUCAAACAUACAUGUAUAAAAAAUAAAAAUAAAAAUAUUUCUUAGAUAUUUGAAAAGCUCUCAUUUAUGCUUAGGGCAUCCAUUAACUUUAAACCGAAUCUGCUUAUGAUCAUAUUAGUAUCAGUGGAAAAAUAGAAAAUGGUUUUCAUAGAAAAACACAAGUAAUGAAAAAGAUAUCAGUUGAGUCAUCCACUGUGGUUUUCUUUAUCUUUUCCCAUUUGACGCGGUUGUUGUCGUAGCUAUCAACCUAACUUCUGUCACAAGGCAACCAUAGUGCUAUUAAUUUUCUUUUUUAUAAUAAGAUAUUUCUUCUUUGAUUGGAAGAAAGCCAUCGAUUUUCAAUACAUUUUACUUUCUGACUCCUCUAUCAAAAUCAAGCAACGUAGAACAGGGAAAAUAUUUCCAGCUUUACUGCAAAAAAUAACUAGAAAUUUCAAACACAUUUUAACAGAUCACGGUAUCAUGCGGUAAAUUUAUCAUUCUGCAACCUUAUUAUAGUUUCUUCAUGUCUCAAUUCUUGCUAAUGGCAAGAGGAUCAGAUAGACAACUAAUUAAUCCAUUGGUGCUCUGGUAUAAAGGUCAUCUAGUAGUCUAGACACGCUGCUGACAAGAGAGUAGUUCGUCUCGUUUUCCUUGGCCCUUGCCCAGACAGGAAUAAAUAUAUUAUCUUUUAGCCUUUAGACCCAGAUUGAGAAAAGGAAUGUGAAUCCGAUGACUGCCCUGAUUGCCUCCCGUAAACCAAAUUUGAACCUGUUUUCAUAGGCGAACAAACUUUUAAAAAGGAGGGAAGACUAUAACUUUGCCCUUGUAAAUUCAUCAAUGUUCCACUUCUAUCCUUGCAGCUUUAAAUUUCUUAAUGUUACUCCAGUAACUUUCAAUUUCCCUCUUUCCUGCCCAAAAAACUAAUAGAAAGCGAACCUUUCAUGUUUUUAUUUUAUUUUAUGCUCACCUGUAUCUCAUUCCCCCCCUCCUGGAUCCACAUAUAUAUAUGGUAUGAUAUUCUGAAAAAACAAAUAGAAAUCUGAGAUGGAAACUCAACCCCAAAUUUAAAAAGUAAGGCUAUACAAUGAUGAUCAGGGGAUAUAUAAUGCUGGGAAUCUUUUGAAACUAAAAGAAUAAUAUUGAUAAAUUUUAAACUAUAAGGAUGUAAAUGGAACAUUGGAUGAAUACACAGGAGCAAAAUUUAGAAUAUAUAGGAGCAGGAAUUAAGUUUAUCCUAGAAUAAACUCAUACUCUGAUGAAGGGUAUGAUGGAGUGCAUGAAAUAAUGUAUGUAUCGAGAAGCCGGCCAAUCAUAGCGCUCCACGUUAACUAUGUAUAAAUCCCAUGUAGUCGUCAUGAUUUCCAGACAUUUUAUCUUAAUUUAAGUGUCGGACACAGCAAGAAACUACGAUGGCGUAUCAGAUCGGAUGUUCCUAAAAGGAUCGUCAAGUUGAUGAAGGUGUAAAUAAUUAUAAGCUACGUCACUGACCCAGUUUGUUAAUGACUUGGAAGUGAACUUAAUUAGCUGAGGUCGAUCCUCGUAAGCGAUAGACUUAGAACUUUCAAGCCUUUAAUAUAUACAAGUGCUGGUUAUCUAUAUCAAGUUUUUGUGAUUGUUUUAAAUUAAUAUUUUUAGAUUAUUUUAAUAUAUUAAUGUUGAUGUUAAAAAUAUUUUUUUAAAAAUACAUUUUAAAAAACAACCAAAUUAAAACAAAAUCUAUGCCAAUUUAAUUAUAUUUGCCUUUUCUCGGCCUCAGUUAGAUGAUGUUGACACAUGGACAAUGUAAUAGGAUUAAUUAUUUAAUUGCUUAGGAAGUUAUCUGUCUUUAUCCAUGGAGUGAUCAUUUAUAUAUUAUUAUAGAUAUAAAUAUAUCUAUAAUACUUAUUUGCUGGAUUUUUUAAAGGAACCGUGGGCAGUGGCGUGGCUAGAAAUUUCUUCAAUAGAUUUUUAAUUAGUCAAAGCCAAUUUUUAAGGAUUAUUUUGUUGGUAAGAUGAACCUUGAUGUUUUUAUAAAUUAAAAAAUAUCCACAAUCUAUAUUAUAAAAUCAUAACUCAAUCAAUAUUUAUUUGUUAGGAGAUAGAUACCUUGAAUGAUAUUUGUCGAUUCCAACUACGAAACAAUCUAUGAUAAUAUCUUAUGAUUAUAGAGAACAAUAGUAUAAAUCUUCUAACUAUCAUAGACAUCACAUCUAAACUAUACAAUAAAAUUAUAAUAUGGAGUGCUUUAUACUGAAAAAAAACAUAUUUAAGAUUAAAUUAUUUGAGUUUGUACAAAUAGACGUGUACGUUAAUAUAGAAUUAAAUUGAAAUACAAAUAUCCAAGAAAAAUUAGGUGGUGAUGUACCUGUAGUUUUCCACAAGAGGGAAAAUGCUUUGAAAAAAUGGAGAAAAAUUAGCUAUUUGAUUGGUUUUAUUAUGAUAGAACGCGUGCCACAGAGGGUAUCUUGUGCAAGUAUAAUAAAUAUUUUGAAAAAUAAUAAAUAUCCUCUUCAGUCUUGCCGUAUCUAUCCAUCAAGAGAUAUCUUGUGCAAGUAGUAAAACCAGAAAGAUCAAUUUCUAAUAUUUAAUUAAAUUAAUUUUGUAAAAUAAUGGCGGAUUUAUUGAAAAUGUGAGGAUUAAAACAGAUCUUAAAGAUGUACUUGAUGAGUAGAUGAGAUUUGAUACGAUAAGGUUAGAUUAGAUUAGAUGGGAGCCGAGGAGAUAAACUAACGGAGAAUUAUUGACUGGAGAAUUUCAUUCAUAAACACAAAAAGUUAAAGUGACCCAAGCCCUCAGCGAAGGAAGGGUCGAACCUCUAGAAAUGAACCCGAGAGAGAACAAAUUGUGCCGCAACAGCAAGUCAACAAAGGAAGGAUCCACACGUAGAGCAAAGAGCUAAUCCAUUCCGUAGAGAUAAGUGUUGUGGUAUUGUGAUGUAUAAUAGUUUUAAAAAAUAAUUUUUAUUUAAAAAUAUAUUAAAAUAAAUUUUUAUUUUCUAUAUAGUACAUUAAAAUUAUUAAAAAAUAUCAUUUUAAUAUUUUUUAAAUUACAUAUACUCUUAAAACUCACUCAAACAAAACUAUACAAUCCAAACAUCCUAUAAUAACCUUUGGAAACGGCUAAUCAGGUCUAAGACGGGGCAACCAAUUUUAUUUUAAGGAUGUUUGAGAAUAUUAUAGUGGUUGUUUUUUAAAGUAUUUUUUGUUGUGAAAUGUAUUAAAAUAAUUUUGUUUUUAUUUUUAAAAAAUUAUUUUUGACAUUAACACAUCAAAAUAAUCUAAAAACAUCAAAAAAAUAAUUAAUUUAAAGCUGAUAAAAAAUAAAAGAAAUUUAAAUUAUUUUAAAAACAGUUUUCAAAGCCAAAAAAAAAAAAAAAAAGACUCGAGAGAUCAUAAUUGAUUUUUUAAAAUAAAAAAAAAAGUUACCUCGACCCUAGCCACGCUCCUUGCUUUCCGGUUCCUUUGUCACUUGACGGGUCUGUUACUCUGUUUCAGUUUCACAUGCCAGAGACCGAAACUUUUCUAGCACUAUUGAUAACAAAUCAUGGCAGUUUUUUUCCGUAACUCUCUUGAUUGAAUUCCGGCCCAGGGGAGACCAGAAAACGCCUUUUGUUCCUCCUCCAAGAACAAUUCAGCCUUUCAAAUCUAUACAAAAACAAAUCAUUCCCAAAGUCAUGUGAUUUGCUGCAGUAAUAGGAAGGGAUUAUUGUUGAAAAUCAACAUCCCAGAAAUGACUAUCAUCUUCUCUUCACACUUUUGUAUGAUCUGUGCUUCAGAUUGAGUGAAAAAAAAAUCUGGAGGGCCAUGAUCUGUGCUUGUGAGAACAUGGAUUGGAGGAGCUCAAGUUAUCUUAUGCUGGGUGUAUGAUAGGUCAGCAUCCUCUUAGACCCGUUUAUUUUUAAGGAUGAUUUUGUAAAAAUAUAUAUUUUUUAGAUUGUUUAAAUAUAUUAAUUUUAAAAAAUAAAAGAAAUAUUUUAAUACAUUAAAAAAAACACACAACACAUUGCAAAAUACACUCUGAAUUCUAUCUUGGUUGCUGUGUUUGGUUUCUUUGUAAAAAAAAAAAAAAACUAGUACAUUUUUAUCUUGUGCUUAUUGGUUAAGAAUUUAGCUUUGUCAAACUUUGACUCUCUUCCACUAUUUCUCUCUCUCUGUAUUUAUCAUGUUUAGAUUUGUUCCUUUCCAAUACCGUUGCCAGCGACGUUUUUCAAAGAAGGAAGAUAAAAUGUUAGGAAGAUAAUGGGAGUAAAAUAAGAAACGAGAUAAUCUGAAUUGAUAGUGAGGAUACUAGUACACUCCUGACUCCACUAUGGGGUGACUAUAAAUUUUUAAAACAUAAAAAAAUUAUUAUGAUUUUUUUCUAUGAAAAUAUAAUUUUCUGUUAAUAUAAUUUUUGUUUAUCUUUAAAAACACGAUGUUUUUAAUUAGAAUUAUUGUUUUUUAAAAAAAUAUAUUAUGAUUUUUAAAUUAGAUUAAUAAAAAAAUAUCAAAAUAGUGUGUCCGUAUUUUAUAUGUAUUUAUAUGUAAUUGAAAAUUAAAAAAUCAUAAAUGUGAUAAAAUAAUAUCCAAAAUAUAUUUAAGAUUUUUAAGAAUAAAAAAUGAUUUUAUUUGAAUUUUUAUGAACAAUUUAUUAUUAAAAUUAUUAUUUUUAUACUAGAUAUAUAAUAAUAAUAAUAAUAAUAAUAAUAAUAAUAGUAUUUAAGAACUAUAUCUGAAGAGUAAGUAAAUUUAAUAAAUUUUUUUUAGAAGAGAAAAACAGGAAUAAAACACAAUAAAGGGUCAUGCUAUACUUGGCUUUGUUUUAUAUAUAUAUAUAUAUAUAUAUAUAUAUAUAUAUAUAUAUAUAUAUAUAUAUUAUUUAAAGAGAUGAAUAACACAUCUUCUAUCUUUACAAAAAAAAAAACAAUGCAAACACUCAAACUCACGACUUUGGCUUCGACUCGCGCGCUUCAAUUAACUAACCUAUGAUACAAAGUUAUUAAAAAAUAUUAUAUAUAUUUAUAAAUAUAACUUCAUUUCGUGUCCAUAUAAACAGUCAAACAGACGGUUAGUAGUAUAAUACCUAAAAAGGGGUAAUUAAUUAGAAGAAAGAGGACCAAGCAGUUUGCUCUUCCGUACUGGGCUGGAUCUUGGUUAACAUAAAUCCACCAUAUGAAAUUACGAGAUCCAAUCUUGUAGGAAUAUGGUUCAUGGCAUUAUAGUCAUUUUCUUACCCGUUCCAAGCCCACCCCGAGUUAUUUGCACGGAGUUACUCUCAAGUUAACGGUGUUGUCUGUCCUGAAAUCUUGUAAUUGAAAACUUUUUCUAUUCAUACCAUCUCUGUGCAUUACAUUAAUUUUUCAAAUAUUAUUAUAAACUAUAUUGUUUUUCUUAAUAGUUAUAUGAUACUAUAGAAAAGAAAAUAAAUUAAUUAGAAAAUAGAUUAUCAUUGAUAGAUCAUUGAAGUGUUUUUACUUUGAUUUUUUUUUCUUGUAUCAUCAUAAAUAUAUUCCUUUUCAGUUAAUUUUUCUUAUACUUUAAAUGGGUUAGAGCGAAGUCGAUUUAAAUAAAUGCAUCAUUUUCAAAAAUAAACUCUUGCUUUCAACAAUAUCACACGCAUAUAUUUUUUCUACUGUCACAAUUCUGUGCUAUCAAGGAAAAAAAAAAUUAACACCAUUAUACAUACAGUUUCUAAUAAUGAAGGGUAUGAUUCAACUAGUUAGGCUUUAGAUUUGUUCUCUAGAGAUUACUAGUUUGAGUCCCACAAAUCUCAGAGCCACUGGAGACUUACAUGGUCAUUAACUUCAGGGCCUGUGGAAUUAGUCGGGGUGCGUGCAAGCUGGCCCGGACACCCACGUUAAAAAUAAUAAAAAAAUCAGUUUCUUGAUUUUUCUACUUUUAUAUUUUAUAAAAAAUUUAAACAUUCAUUUUAAAAUAAAUUUGUAGUUUAAAAUAUCUACUUGAAAAACUUUCCAAUCAUUUUCUCUUUUUUCAAUAUUUUUUUUAUAUGUAUAUAUGACAAGGUGAACCUGUUUUAUAAGUUCAAUUUUUUUUAGUAGAAAUUAAAACUUAAAUACAUUGACACACGAGUAAUCUACAUAUCAUUAAUUAUAACAACACCGCUUUGAAUUGCAUUUAUUCUGAGAAUCUCGCAUGAAAAAUGAGGGGAAAAAACACCUGGAAUAAUAAUAAAAAAAAAAAGUAAUUGGGAUGUCCACUUUUUGUGCAUCAAAGGAGAAUACUUUAUAUAGUAUGAUAAAAAAAAAUUAUAAUUUUGUUAUAUAAAAUAAAUUAAAGGGCCAAAUACAUAUAUCUUUUGCUUACCAGUGAUUUGUAUUUUCUAUUAAGAUAGAGUUGAGCAAAAGUGAAUUGAACAUGAGAUUUAUUGCAAAUUCAAGACGUCAAUCAGACAACAAGAUUAAUGAUCAAUCAAUGCACAACAGGCUCAGCAACUCUUAAAACCCAAAAGAAUAAAAGAAUAGUCACCCACUGUGUUGAAUAUUGAUACCCAGAAGCUUAUAACGGACUGGAUCCCCGAAUCAUUCAUCCGCAGCUCACCAGUAACGAUGCCGCGAAAGGAUCCGCAAUAAAAAGGGGGAAAUUCAUGUUCAUAAUCAUAGCUAUUUUCACUUCUAUCUAUUGCCAAUCGAUGGAGCAGUAGAAAAGGAUUAAAGUUUGGUGGGUUCGAGGAAUUUAACCUGAUAUAUGCUAGCUGUUGGAAAGAACGAAUGAAUUUUACUCUCCCAUUAUAAAUAUUCCACAGGCACUCAUUGCCGUCCAAGUCAUUGCUACAGUUAUGGUAUAGUUUUUUUUUAAAUAUAUUUUUUAUUUAGAAAUAUAUUAAUAUAUAUUUUUUUAUUUUUAAUAUUAGUAUAUCAAAAUGAUAAAAAAUUUAAUUUUAAGCCCAAAAAAAUAACAUUAUUUUUGCAGUAAAAACAAACAUAUUGUACCAAAUUAAGGUCCAAGACCUUGAUAAAAAUGAGAAUAAGUUUUAUUGUGAUUUCCGAGUCAUCAAUUAUUUUCUACUUUUCCCUAUCACCUAGCACUUACCUGAUUGUUUUGAUAUCUUUCCCGUUUAUAUGAAAACGCAAUGAUUUAAGUGAUGGAACCGCAAAAUAGCCAAGUUGCUAUAUCGGUCGGAGAAUAAUUGCAUUUAUUGGAUUUAUGAGCAGCCAGUUGCAAAUAAAGAUCCGUAGCUGGUGGAGACCACCUCAAGAUAUAUAUAUAUAUAUAUAUAUAUAUUGGAUAUUGAAAAGGUAGAGAACAAAUAAAUUAUUAUUAGGAUAUGGUCGGUAGAAGGUUAAAGGAAGUGAAAAUUUACUCUUAUAAUUUUUCAUCUUCUUCACUCAUGUUUAGUAUAUUUCUCUUAUAAUUUUUCAUCUUCUUCACUCAUGUUUAGUAUAUUUUUGAGAGGAAAGGAAAUACUUUUUAUAUCCUUAAUAUGUGAUCAAUAAAUGCUUAAUUUUCUCUCCAAAUUUUAAUCUUGCACUAAACAUAAUUUUAGAGUAAUCUUUUUUUUAAAAAAAUAAUUCUGAGAUGGGACGAUGAUGAUGUGAUACAAAGGUGUUUUACUUGGAAUGAUUCGAAGCAGCCAUCACUCAUCCUUAAUAAAGCAACCUUUUUAACUUGGACUAAUUUCUGGGAGUAAUAGAAAUGUGAUAUGAAAAAUGGAUCUUUGUGUUCGUCAACCCAAAAAAUAAUGACAUGGGAAAAUGUAAUAUCGUAUGCUCUUGGCUUGUUUUGAAAUUUAUGCCUUUAUAAUCUCUCCACCGUUGAAAGUUUUGCACAUCGUUGGUGGAUCGACGUGAGCACAUUUGGAUUUUUCGAAGCAAUCAGAAUUCCAAGUCUCGCGAUUCAUUAUCACGUGAUAUCGUGAUUUUUAUUCUUUUAGCUUCGUAAUAAUCCCAUUUCACACACUUUCUAGUUUCUAGCUAGCUUUUCGCGGGCUCAAUCACAGCCCCUGUAUGUCACUGGAUCCCUUUCCUGUGGUAAUUAUUUAUAUCUCAUGCUUUAUCAUCGUCUCUGUGUCUCGUGUUCGACAAGUAGAAAUGGAGAUCAAAGUUAAAAUAUAUUGGUCUCUAGAAGAUAUUCUCUUCCAUGCGAGCCCUUUUUCCUGAUCCUUGUGCCGAACAAACAUAUACUCUAUCAACACAAACCCCAUCUGAUUUUCCCUUAUAAGCCUCAAACAAUCAUAUAGUAUAAUAUACACGCAGCAUUAUCAUUAUCAAUCAAGAUCCUCAGCUAGCCAUUAAUUUAGUUUAUCCCAUUAACGAUUCCGAAGCUCUACCAUUAGACAUGAUACACUUCUCAACUUUACAUUUCAACUCUUGCAUGGACUUUUAUUCCUCCAAUACCAAAGUUCUUUUGAACUCUUCAUCAGGAAUAGCUGCUAUCAAAGUAGAUGCUACUACCGAAGCUAUCAAAUCAACUAUCUUUGGGGUGUCAUUAUUGAAUCUUCUCAUAAAUUCCCCAAGGCUUUCACUUCUUCCCCAUUUCAAAAAGUUAACAGUGACAUCUAAGUCUUUCAAUGCCUCAUGAACUGUUUUGAAAACUGCAUAAGGAAUCGGUUUUUUAUUUUCCCUUUUCGGCCUUAGAGAUUGCUCGUACUAUGAGAUUGCUCGAAAGUUUUAUUAAAAAAAUGGCUACAAAGAUAUAUAAUAGCCUAACUUACAUCUCCCACGUCUUUUCAUUUAAAGGUCAUACAAAAUGCUUCCGAUCUGGAUCUGUUCCUCGCCCUUCAUCUACCAUAUUAGGAUUAUGUGGAAAUCGUUGAUCCUCCUUGUCAUGUACACUCACGCUCCGACUCUAUUGUAUUUUCUUCUUAUCCGUGCUCGGAGGGUUGCUGUUUUACUGAUCAACUGUUUUCAUAAAUUGAUGCCUCAACUCCCAUGUGAUGUCAUCUUGUUUUGUAAAUGUCUUCAAUUUUCACUCUAAUCUCAUGUGCAGAUAAAAUCAACUGAUAUUCUUUUGAUUUUAAUUACUAUAUUUAAAAGUAUAGAAGAGGAACUGAUGUCAAUGAUAAUCAUCUAAUUACGUACUGCAGUAAUUCGGAUAUCAAUUUCUUUUUGUUAUCACUUGGUUUUUGAAUUUCUUAUCAAGAUAAAUCUCUACAGUGUCUCUUUGAUUUCUACUUUUGGUCCCUGUGGAGGUGAAACAUCUGAUGUGUUUCGGGCAUGUCAUCUUAAAAGAGCACAAACAGAUAGUGGAUUUUUUUUUUAUCUCAGUAAUACGCUCUUUAAUUCUAUUUUUAUUCUUAUUCUGUAUUUUGUUUUUUGGUGGACUAGUGACAGAUUCAGUGAUUAAUUUUCAAGUCGAAAUCUUAGUGUUUGUUUCUACCAUCAGACUGAAAGGGAGUUUUCAUUAGCGGUUAUACAAUAAUUAGGUUUUUGGAAAACUAUGUGUCUUUUUGAGGAGGGGAGUGUCCAAGCAGCAGUUGUUCAAGGCAUGCAACUGUCCCUAGCUAUCAUUGCCCACGAAACUUUCAUCCGAAAACGACAAGUAUUAGUAUAAAAUACAAGGCCGUCUACGCCGACGGCUUAUCUGGGAAAACCUAAACCGCCCACCCCAGCGGCAAAAAAUCAACUUCAAAGUGCCCUCGUUCUUCUUCCUCACCCCCUCCCCCCAACCGUCAAAACUGAAAGCGCUUUCUUGCCUCCGGGAUCCCACCCAAAACCAAGCACUGUCGUGUACCCCUUUAUAUAUAUACGAAGGAAAACAGGCGACAACUCUAGUGCUCUAUAAUAACACACGGUUCGUUUUGACCUUUUUGGCUUUGUAUCAGUGCCAAAUCUUUGUCUUGUCUACCGCCCAUGUUUUGCUUUGAAAUUACUUAAUUCCUUUUCUUUUUGUUUUAUUUCCCUUCUUUCCCAUUGAAGAUAAGUAUUCCAUUCUUUUCACCUUUUCUUGUCACUGACUAGUACUCCUCGUACCCUCUUCUCGUUCUCCACUUGUCUUCCAUUCUCUUCCAGACUCAUUCUCUGGCUGCUUUUCUUUUUGUGUAGAAAAUAAUUUCGUUGCUGAUUUAGCGCAUCAAUGGCGUGGAGUAAUAUGUUCUCAUAUUUUUCUUUCCCGAAUUUCUAUCGUAUCUUUCAGGUUAGUUGUACAGUGUAAUCUUUCCUUUUUUUUUUCCUUGUUCUGUUAUGCCAUGAUCAUCAGCAUAGGAGUACUUUAAUUUUGCAGGCAAAGUUUGAUAAGUUAAUUAAAUUUACAUAAUAUUUAAUUGUAUUUGAAAAGAUAUCAUUUUGCAUGCAAGAUUUGAUGAGAUAAAUUUACAUAAUAUUUUAUUAUAUUUGAAAAGAUAUCUUUUAGGCUUGCGAAGUACUUCUGAUAAAAUUGUCAUCGCUAUGUAUAAUGGACCACAGUUGUCCAUGGAUUUCUGGGGAUUGGACGAGGAACAAGUUUUAAAACUAGAUUUCAUGGACUCUUUGAGUCUCGGGUUUUCAUUUUCACCAGAAUUGUCUGUCGGUAAAGAUGCGCUACAAUGCUUCAACUGUUUGCAAGUUUUAAUCUACACUGCAAACAAGAAUUGAUGGCUUACCAAACAAAACAGAUACCAUAUAGCUGUAUACAUAUGUGUAAUAUUACUUGAAAUUUAAUAUGUGUAAUGCUAAUUGUAAUAAAUUUCAUAUCCCGGGAUUCUGCACGAAUUUGAUUGAGAAAUUAGAUUUAUUUAAAAUAACCACAGCCACAAAAGGGAAGAAAGUAACACGUCACGAAACGGGCAAUAAUGGGGAGAGAUCGGCUUUUGUCUUAGCACUUAACUUUGCCGGUCUGAUUUUUUAGUUUUAAAUUUUUUUGUUACUGUAUUUUCAAAAAAAGGGCAGAGUGAGGUCGGCAGAGAUGGGUACACACACUAUCAAAUCUCAUGGAACCAAAGUUGCGAGGGAUCACAUGCUGGACUGGCUUAUUCUACUGCUACUUGUGUUGAUUGAGGUCAUUCUCUAUGUAAUCCAUCCUUUUUACCGAUUUGUGGGAAGGGAUAUGAUGACAGACCUGAAAUAUCCUGUGAAAGAAAACACAGUGCCUGCAUGGAGUGUUCCUGUAAGUUUUCUUCAGAAUUAGUUCAUCUAGUUGUUUUUUACGUGGAUGGGCUUUAAGUUUUCAGAAAGUCGAUUGUAUUAUGUAUUGAUUGAACAUCCAAAGUCAAAUUAAGAUUGGAUAAUACUUCAUUUUUCUGUUUUUGCUUCCUUGCGGUGUGGAGGAGUAAAUAAUUCAUCAGGGUCUAUACCUUUUUGAUAUUCAGAUGUACACAGUUUUUUUGCCCAUUGCUGUUUUCCUUUUAUUCUAUACGCGAAGGAAAGAUGUCUAUGAUCUGCAUCACAGCAUCUUAGGUAAUUUCAUCUGCACUGUUUUUUAUGUUUUACCUGUGCCUUUUUUCUUUUAUGUUUGCUUCGACGUAAGUAGGAUAUUAAUGAAGAUUUUUGUAUGAACCAAGAGCAGGCCUCUUAUUUUCUGUGCUGAUUACUGCGGUCAUCACGGAUGCAAUAAAAAAUGCAGUUGGCCGGCCUCGACCAGACUUCUUUUGGCGCUGCUUUCCUGAUGGGAAUGAAGUAUGCCUCUGUUUCCGACCCUUUCCUUAACUCGUUGGUGCAUUUUUUUAUGUACAUUUUUUUUAAUAUAAGCACGUUUAUUCUCUCUCUUAUAAGAGCUUUACAUCCCGUCAAUUUUCUCUUUUUAAGCGAUGCCUUGACAACAGUUCUGCUUUUCGACCAUUUCAAUAAUCUUUACUUAACUUUUAUCUUCCUUGAAGUUACCAUGUUCCCAGCUAGCUGCUAUAUUCUGAUAUUGACCUUUGAAUAUAAUUAAUUGUUUGCUUCAUGUUUGGUUGGCACUGUUACUAUUUCCAAUCCUUUAAUUUUAUUGUUUUUUGCCUUGUUCAGCUCUAUAAUCGGUGGGGAAAUGCAGUAUGUCAUGGUAGAGAAAGUGACAUUAGGGAAGGACAUAAGAGUUUCCCAAGCGGCCAUACUUCUUGUAAGCUACGUACAGUUGUAGCCAUAUAUAUCCUGCAAAUUUUUCUAUGUUUGUUUUGGUUGAUUUAUACUAUGAAUUGGAAAUCUGAAACUUUACCGAUGCUAUUAUUUGGCCACUUUUGACGUUGCACUUCCUAUCAUUUGGAUCAUUUUCAAAAAGAAAAAUCGACUCGAUUGUGCAAAACAUUUGAGAAACAAAGUACUCUCAAGUUCUUGCUGAUCAGUAAGGCUUGGGACUUUUCAGGCACAAGACAGUCGUUGCUUACUAUUUUACAGCAGCUUUCCAAGUAGUGAGUGUUUGAAAGAAGAUACUUGAAUGCCAUGUGAGAUGUAAUAACUGAUAAAAAAUAGUGCUGCAAUGCAGGGUCCUUUGCUGGAUUAGGUUUUCUCUCAAUUUACUUAUCUGGGAAAAUCAAAGCAUUUGAUCAGAAAGGGCACGUGGCAAAGCUGUGCAUUGUUUUUUUUCCUCUGCUUAUGGCAUCUCUUGUAGGCAUCUCUCGAGUUGAUGAUUACGGGCAUCAUUGGCAGGAUGUGUUCGCUGGAGGCCUUCUAGGUUUGUUUUCUGUCAUCACCUGCUGAUAGAGAAAGCUAUACAGACAUGGAAUUCAAAAUUUGACUUUAGGACCUCUUUCACAUGGUAACAGGGCUGGUUGUGGCCACAUUCUGCUAUGCACAGUUAUUCCCACCCCCAUAUAAUGAUGAAGGUAAGAUUUCCAUCGCCUUUAUUUCCCCAGCUUUGUUACUGUUGCUACGGGCUCCAUUUUUUCUAAAUCUCUGAAUAAGAUAUCGCAUCCCUGUUGUGUUUUCUCUUAAAAGGCAAUAGCAUCUUUACUUUAACAUCUUGUUGCCGGCGGAGUACGUCAUCUGGACAUGUUAGAAGUUCGUUCUCAAGCAGUGCUGGGUCAUUUUUUCAUGAAAAAAACCUGAGAGAGUGAGAGUGACUCUCUAAUGAAAGCGAUGAAUUUUUCUAAGCGUUCCCUGUUCAUAUUCUUGACCACAGGAUGGGGACCUUACGAAUAUUUCAGAGCAAUGGAGGAGUCACGUUCCAAUACAAAUUCAGGGGAGUCUGUGAAUGAACUUGACGUGCAGCCCAUGAGUUUAGCCGUUGUGAGUCAGCAAGUCAGGAAACACGGAAACGAGUUUGCUGCUUUGGAGGAUUUGGAAUCCGGUAGGAGGUGACUAAGCAUUUUCUAGCUUGUGAUCUACUUUUGUCCAUAUUUUGUACGAGUUUGGAUUCUUUCUUCUCUACUUUUCUUUUGGUCAAUAGAAUGUAGAGUGGGGAUCUAUUAUUAUAGUCAAAUGAAUAAAUGAAUGGUAGAUAUUGGUGGAUACCUUGUACAUCAUGUGUGCUAUGAUCUCAUGAUAAAAGAGGCACGAACAUCCUUUAUGAUCAAAACAUGUAUUUUAUUUGAUAUUCAUAGUAUUUUCAAAUGAAUUUAUAUAUAUUAAUUGAGAUUAACUAUUAUAAUUCUUUUUUUCAAAAACCAAAAAUAAAACAAAUUUCAUUAACCUUCUAACUAACUAACUCUGUUGGAGUUAUGUAAUAAAAUUGUCAAGGAAUGAUGGUCUGCCAGGCCUGUUGUCCUUUUUUGUUGGCUAGUAUAAUUUAUAUUUCAACCAACUGGCAAGUGACACAUUGAAAUGAACAAUGAUUCAAGUUAAUAAUUGAGUGAGGGUUCCAAUCAGAUAUGAGUUCUUGAGAAAGUAAGUUCAUAACUUUAUCUUAGUGGUGCAUUGCCGGAUUCGUUACAAUGCGUUGCAUAGAGCUACAAGAGAAAGAGAAUGUGGAAGGCGACAUCCAUUAACAAACUGUGAAAUGGGAGGUUAAUGGAAUUCUGGCUUGUGAUUUUUAAGGAAAGAAAUCCGCAUGCUUUUGAAGCAUAAUUUAUUGCAGCUAACAUGAGCAGAAGACUGGUAGCUGGGAUGAAACUUUACAACAAAGCACGGAACGUGUAGCUUUCUGAUUCCUUGUAUAAUUACUAGAAAUCUUAGGUUGUAAUGAGAGUAAUUAUUAAUAUUUUAUUAAUAUUCAUUAAGAACAAAUCAUAAAUAUAAAUAUUUUUAUCAUUUUUUUAGUUAUUCCUGUUAUCAUCUUGUUUUUUCAAUGGAAAUGAUAAAUUUCAGUUUCAAAGUGUUUUAUCGUGUAUCUUUAAGGUUGUAUUGUUUAUGCGCGCACACAUAUACAUAUAUAUAAUUUAAAAUAUUAAUUUAACAAAUAUAAUUUCAAUUCAGAAAAAAAAAUAAACUAACUUGAAAUUAUGGAAUUCAAAUUUUAAAUACAAGUAAGAAAAUAAAUUGAUUUGAUAUGACCUGAUCGACUAGACGGGUCCAAAAAUAAACUAGACAACUGAUAAAUAUAUUGUUUGACUAAAAAAGAAUUCAAGAAAAUAUAUUUUUUAAAAAAAUAUUGAGGCGACAAUAUAUUGAAUCAACUCAUAAUAACUUGAGUUCAACGAUCAAUUUUAUGACAUGUGUCAUGAGACCAUGAUUACCCCAAAUAAAGCAAAUCAAAACAAAGUAGAAAACUCAAUUACCAAUAAACUUGUAAUUGAAUGAUGAAAUUAGAAAAAAAUUCAAUCUAUAAAAAGAACACAAUAAAAUGACAUUCCUGAACAAAAUUACAAAUUUAAACAAAAUACAAAAAUAUUGUUGACAAUUUUGCAAGACUUUACUAAACUCCAAUUGCUCUAAAAUUUUAACUUGAGAUAUAAAAAUAUAUGAGGAAACUUCUCGUAAAUUUUAAUCCGAUCCAACGAUUGGAUAUAAUUAACAUAGUAAAACUGGAUAAUAUUUUAAAAAUUAAAAUAACAAUAUCUGACUAGAACGAAACGACUGAACAUAACCAUAAUCUUUUGGCCAUAAUUUGGAUGACAUUUCCAAAAUGGGCCAAAAUUCUAAGUAAAAUAAAAUUUAUUCUUAUUUGUUUUAUUUUUUAAACUAGAACACGAUAUACAAACAUUCUCACCAUAGGUCCAUAACAGAAGCAGUAAUUCUGAUCUAUAUGAGUAGUAAAUGUUUUUCUUUCAUGACAGCGGAAAGCGUAUACCGAUGGAAAAUGAUGCAUUUAGAUUACAGGUGAUACGCGCAUUUUCUUUGAAUUUGAUACUCGCCCUUUCACUACUCUCUGUUUUUCCCCCUUCUCUCAGGUCAGCUACAUCCUCUUCUAAAUCCCUGUAUACUCUGUAUUCGCUCACUAGUCAUUUGAGUCUAUGAUAACAGCGUGCUUCAUGCUAGUUUCAUUUUCCGUUCAGCGGAGUAGUAAUAUUGAUGCCCGGCAGUCCGGCACUGUUCGUUUUGGACUCCAUUCGAACUGUUUGUUUGCUGACAAGAUGAAGGCAAGGAAAGGACAGGAGAGUGUAACUUGCUGCGUCUUUUUUUGCUCAUAAAUAAAAGGUUUAAACUCAACGUGAUUAGACUAGUCUAAUAAUCUCUCUAGCUCUACAUACCUUUUUGCUCUCGUUUUCUCGUUUAUUUUAGAAUAAAACUGUUAUUUUUUCUUUCCUUUUUAAAUAUUCAAAUAAAAAAAAUUAUUUUAUUUUAAUAUAUUAUAAAUAAAUAAAAAUAAUAUAAACUAGCUGCCAAGUGACCGUAAAAGCACGCCAUAACAGUUUCAAUCGUGCAAACAACAACUAUACAAUUGCCAAGUGGGUCCUAAAAAAGAACAAUAAAGAAAAGCAGCGUGUGACUCCCACUCUAUCAUUUCUCUACUCAUGGAAAAAAAGCAAAGCUACUUGCCAAUCGAAAAGGCAAACAAGGCAAGAAAUUUACAAGAAAGGAGUUGUUUGUCUGUUUGACUGUUAGAUCGGAAUUGCUCCUUUUUACAGCAACCAAACUCCCUUAUAGAAACAAGAACAUCAAUCGAUGUUAAAGGCUUGGACAUCGAUCUUUGAGAAAUUCCGAAACAAAACAUCACACUCUCCCUUUCAGCUUCUCAAGAGAUGGGAGGCGGAACGACAGAUCUGAAUGAAGAUACAGCAGGUGUUUAUCUCCCCCUUCGGAAUGAUGAUGGCAUUGUUAAUGAUUCGGGUGACAGUCGAUUGAAACAGCUGGGUUACAAGCAAGAACUUAGCCGUACCCUCUCGUGCGUAUAUCCUUUCCUUGAUCAUCUCUUGAUAAAUUAAACUUCCCGUGUAUGUUUUCUUUUCCGCUGAAUAUGGCUUGUUAAUUUUGCGACUUGUGUAGGCUAAUUGCAAAUUUCUCAGUGACCUUCUCCAUUGUGUCAGUCCUCACUGGUCUGACAACGAUGUACAGUUCGGGUCUAACCUAUGGUGGGCCAGUUACGAUGGUAUAUGGGUGGCCGGUAGUGGGUAUGCUGACCCUCACCGUGGGGAUGUCAAUGGCCGAGAUUUGUUCUGCUUAUCCCACUUCUGGAGGGCUUUACUUUUGGAGUGCAAGGCUUUGUGGCAAAGAUUGGGGGCCUCUUGCUUCUUGGCUCACUGGCUGGUAAGUGCGCUUCUUCCUUCUUAUUUCUUCUUAGCUCUCCUUUUUUUUUAUUUAAUUAAAGUAGUUGAUGGAGAUCCCGUGAUCUGUUUAAUUUAAAACCUAUGCAUAUAUCUGACCAGUGAUAAAACAAUGAGUGGAGUAUAAGGCUGUCGGGCUUCGUUAUGCAAUUCUUGUUAGGCAGCAUUCACUAUUGUGAUAAUUUUAAAAAGUAAAAUUAUAAACAAAGAAAGUAAAAACUUGGAAAAACCUCAUUAUACAUUACUAUACAUAAUGCAAAAACGUAUGGUGUUUUUACUGUUAAAAACAAUAGCAUGCAUCCUCUCUCAUUUCACUGUUAAUUAUAAUGGUGUAAUUUAAAAAAAAUUCAAUUCGAUCCUUAAAUUUUAUUUUGCAUGAAUGAACCCUUUUGAAACCAAAUUAAAGCUUAAUUACAUGUUUGUUUUUUAGCAAGGAGGCUUGAGUUGAAAGAAAAGGGACUUGAGUGAAAAAAACAAGUAACAUAGAUGAUAGACUAGAAAUUUCUAUUAAAAUUCAUUCGAGUCCUCCAUUUUGGUUUAGAGAGAGAAAGUAUCUGUUGGUGAGGAAUUCGGCCUCUAAAACAAUUGUUUUUUUAUAUUAAAUAGUUCUAUAUGAUAAGAAGAGUUAAUAUUAGGUGUUUUUUCAUCUUGAAAACAUCUAGAAAAUUAUAUCUGAGCUUUAGAUUUUUUUUUAUGUCGAGUGAAUUUCGUGUUUUGAGAUGUUUUUUUUAUGUUUUUCGUGACCAUAGAUUAGUUUAAUAAGAUUUCUAAGAUGUUUUGGAUAAAAAAAAUAUACUCAAAAUAGAUGUUAGGUAAGAAAACAAAAGACUCUACAUAAAGUUUAUAAUCAAAUUAUUAAUAAAAAAAUUCUUUAUUUUCUUAAUAUUUUUUUAAUAUAUUUUAAAAAAAUUAUCAAAUUUACAACGGAAUACAAAAUAAUGUACUAGUUGUUAAGGGAAAGAUGUCAUAACUAGUGGGGAGUUCUUUAAAAAAAAAAACGAUUGUUUAUGAUUUGUGUCAAAUGUCAAUCGUCAUCCUUGCUGUGGCUCCAAUCCAGCCCAGAAUGCUCCACUCUCUGUGGUUUGACAGCAUCAUAUUUGACGAGCGUAGACUCAAUUCAAAGAUAAAAAAAAAUCUAGGUAUAUAUGUAGCUCAACUAAAGCUAUUAGCCAAAUGCAGAAACUUGAUGGUUUUAAGGCCCAAUCUGUUAAAAUAGAAUCCAACAUACAUUUUAUAUGAACCAACCAUAACAAAAAUGAUUUUUUUCAAACCACAACCAUGUUUGUGUGUGGUUGCGAUUGUUUUUUAAAGUGUUUUUUACUCAGAAAUGUAUCGAAAUAAUAUUUUUUUAUUUUUUAAAAAUUAUUUUUGACAUCAACGUAUCAAAAUAAUCUAAAAAUACUAAAAAAAUAUUAAUUUAAAAUAAAAAAUAAUAAUUUUUUUAUUUUUUUAAAAACAUUUUUAAAACACAAAAAUAAACAAAUUUUUAUAUUUUCCCGCUAGCAGUUAUAUCAUCACCGAACGCAAACAGCUAGCUCUCGUGAUUGUCAGGCUUUUUCAGAAUCAGUCUGACUGAUAAGGAAGGGUCUCAGGCCUGACUUGUUUGUACAUUGUAUAUGAAAUGAAAGUGCCUGCAUUUAUAAAAUAUAUGGUAUUCAGGUUUGAUAGUAGGGACCAUCCUGACAAUUACUAUUCCAAGUCUCGACCAUUGAAUUUGUGCAGUUACAUUUACUGCAUAAUGUAUGAAAUGAAUAUAAUAUAUAGUAUGUCUCCGGGAAAAUAUCCUCCGGUGAGAAAUCUCUUGGCUCUUGGCUAGGUUGAAUCUUGAAAAGGAAAGUUGAUAUCUACAGAUGGAAAAUGGAUAUCCACUGUAUGGAAACACAGAGCAUAUACAUGAACCAGGAAAAAGAAGUACAUGCCAGCCAAUAUAAAAAGUAAUCAUUGCAUGUAUGGUAACCUUUAGAGUUAGCUUAGACCAUUACACUAUCUAAGCCUUGGACGCAUAUAAUGACACAAACCAUCCCAAUCCUACUCAUCUUCGAAGAAUUGGUUUGUGUGGUUACUGUUAAUGAGGAAGUUCAUCCAGCUUCGAAUCUUAUAUUCAAGCUCAAUUGUCGGUUUCUUAGUAAAAUGACAAACGUGUAUCAUUUCGAAUGUUCAAUGAGUUUCAUAUCUGCACUCAUUUUUGUAAAAAAAAACAUCUAAUGUUAACUAAAAAUAGAUAUUUUAGGAUAAGAUUAGCGUCACCGUGUUUGUUUAAGAGGUGUGACAUAUAAAAAAAAACAUGUAUUACAUGUUUUUUUGAGAUUGCCAUGCAAAUAACACUCUUUUAAAUAGAAAUAUUGUUUCUUAGCCUCAUUGUCGCUGUAGGUCUUGUUUGAUUAUUUUUUUUCUAAUUAUUUCUGGAGAGAUUAUGUGAAAUUUUCUUUCAGAGUAGAUUUUAAUAUCUUCCCUUGAAAUAUAUGUUUUGUUUAGAUUUCCCCCUAAAUCUAGUUUUCAUAUCAAUCUCCCCUGAAUUUCCAAACUUGUCCUGAUCACAUACUUUUUUCAGACUCUUUUUAGACCUGCAACUAGUCAACGAGAUUGAUGCUAGAGCUACUACAUGAGAAAGCCAAUCUCCUUAUCACUUGUCCUUUAUUUUACAUGCUACUUCUCUCCCCACCUCACCACUCCCAUUUUCCUUAUUUUCUCUUGCAAAAACUUUAAAUUUAUACAUGACUAUUUUUAUUUAAUAAACCACAAAGAUAAGACAUGCUGAGAAUUUCAUCUUCUAUUAUAAAAUCUUUUACCCCUUGUCUACCAGACAAAAUUCAGAGAGAGAGAAAAAAGCAUACCCUGGUGGCACAAUUAAGAGAAUGGUCGGACCAUGUGAUUCUGGAUUAACAAAUGAACAUGUUGUUUGCUAAUAUAAAGAUUAUUGAAGAUUUACAUUAUUAUUGACUUUAAAAUUCACUGAGAUUAGUUAAAAUACGGAACAUUUAUAUUAAUUAAAAAAAAACAAAUGAGCACGUUGCCGUGUUUCCAUGCACUGUCGUUCAAGAUUCAGGCCCCCCACUCUCCAUAAAUUGCAUGUCCUUUGAUAACCUCACACCGUGGUGAAGUGAUAUCCCCUAUAAGCUGCCCCAUCCCUUUUCCCCUGAAAAAGCACCCACACAAAAUUAUAUCCGGACAAGAAAAUCCUCGCAAAUCACAAUCCAAGAUUCUCUUUCGUGUUUUUUGGUAAAAAUAUUAUUUCCUUAUUGUCCCUUUUAACUUUAUGUGACCAAAUAUGAAAGCUGCCAUCAAAAAAUGGAAAUUGUAUCUGUAAAUACAUUGAAUCAACCCUGUAUUAUAAAAAAUAUUUUCAUAAAGUGUUUUAUGAAAUUUUAAUUAUUUUUUUAUAUUAUCUUUUACUAUAUCAAUAAUAAAUUUUAAAAAUAAAAAAAUAUUUUAAUAUAUUUAUAAAUAAAAAACAUUUUAAAAAUAUUUUUUAUUAAACGGAAAUAAUGAAAUCAACAGUACAAAGUAAAGUUAAAGUCUUUAAUAAUGAUUGGGAUGGUCACGCAUGCCAUUCAAAUACAAAUGAUAUUUACCAAACUGUUCAUCAAAACUUUCUCAUCGCUUAUUAUUUUGUCUGAACGACAUUAAAAAGGAAAAACACCCUGCCAUUGGUGUACUAUCCACUUAUCCAGGAUAGCAGUGAGAUGUUUACUAUAGUUAACUAUAAAGAUUGCUUGCGUCGACACCAGGCAAACAAAGAUAAAAUUUAGACAAGCUGUAGAGUACAGGAAAGGAGGGAACAUAACAGACAGAGAGUUAGAAAGAGAGAUUGAUUGGUUUUUUGCAACUGAUUCUCUAUCUCUCUCAUCUUUCAUGGGUCUUCCAACUCAUACAGCUCAAAACGGCGGCGGCUUCCUUGAUACAGGCACUGCCCGUCUUAAAGAGCUUGGCUACAAACAAGAGCUUAAGCGUGAUCUCUCGUAAAUCUCUCAAGAACCCUUUUCUUGUUUCCUGUUUUGAAGCUUUCUUGGCAACCUUCUCCUUCUGAUGAAUCACCAAUGAAUUGGACCAAUAUGGUUAAAAAAUUGCAGGGUGUUUUCCAACUUUGCGUUUUCAUUUUCGAUCAUAUCAGUGCUGACUGGUAUAACCACGCUUUACAAUACUGGUCUCAAUCUUGGAGGGCCAGUUUCGUUACAGUAUGGGUGGUUCAUAGCUGGUGGGUUCACCAUGAUUGUUGGGUUGGCAAUGGCAGAAAUUUGCUCUUCUUACCCAACUUCUGGUGGUCUCUACUAUUGGAGUGCAAAGCUUGCUGGUCCUAAUUGGGCACCCUUUGCAUCUUGGAUAACUGGCUGGUAAUAUUUCUUGUUUGCUAUAGUUUUCUUGGUUCCUAAUUCAUCUUGCUAGCUUAGUUUUUGGAAUUCUGUGGUUUUGCUUUCACAAUUUAUUUGCCUUCAUUUCUCAUGACCUUAUCGUUGUUACCACCAACUUUGUUAGCCCUUUACUUCAAAACAUGGAACUUUUUAGGCUGCACAAAAUUUCCCGCAGUAGCAGCCAUGACAUAAGGGUCUCAAUGUGCUUGAUGCUCUCUAUUUUCCUUUCUGGGUCAUGGUUUCAGAAUCCCUCCAUUUUUAACUGUGGGCGCCGUUUAUAGGCUGGUGUUUUUCACAUUAUAGGCCGCGGGAACUUGAAGUUUUCUUUGAAAUUUUAUGCUUGAACUUUGCUCAUUGUACUGCAAAUUGAAUUGGUUAAUUAGUAACCAUACCCAUGGAGUCAGAGUAAUAUUGUGACGAGCCUGAAACAAUCACAGGAGGAUGAUAUGCUGAAAUAUAAUGCGCUGGAGUGGUAUGGACAUACUCCUUGUCUUAUUAUGCAAUACGGUUGAGUUCAUGAAUUUAUUUAGCUUGUGUGAGCAUGCUUCAAAAUGCAUUAUAGCAUCUGCAUUGCAAGAAUAAAUGUGGGAUCCAACAAGCUUUCUGGGGGAUGCUUGCAGAGAAAUUCAAAAAGUUUUAGCCACCAAGGAAAGAAAGAAAUGGUGAUUCACUAAAUGUAGUUUUCACACUGACCUUCAUUUCAGUGAGGGUGAAUUAAGACACAAACGAUUGAUUUGUUUCUAUACAACACCUCAGAUAUAUACCACGCUUGAAACUUGAGUCAACAAACCAUAGUAAGUGCUCUUAUUCUGUAUUGAGCUGAAUCUUCAGGGAAUUGUAGGGCGUGAAUUUAAUUAUCUAGCAUUCAUUGCUUUUCUCCAGCUUAUUCUUUUUUCAUAUCACUGAUAUAGUUAUGUUGUCUUCUUUGGUUUUUCAAGGAAAAGUUAGAUAUAUAGCUGGUACAGUCAACCACUUUUGCUAAUCUGGUCCUCCCUUGAACAUACUCUAAUGCAGUGAAUUGUCUUUUUUUCCUUGCAGGUUCAACAUUGUUGGUCAGGUACAGCUAAGAAUCCAUACUCGAUUUUGCUGCCUUCAGUUUCCACCGUUAUAAAUUCUAACCACUUCAUGUACAUUCUUAUUUCCAGUGGGCUGUUACAACCAGUGUAGAUUUCUCACUUGCACAGCUGAUUCAGGUUAUCAUUCUCCUAAGCACAGGUGGAAAAAAUGGUGGUGGAUAUGAAGCAUCCAAGUAUGUAGUUAUUGCUAUGCAUGGGGGGAUUUUACUACUGCAUGCUGCACUAAAUAGUCUUCCCAUCUCACUCUUAUCUUUCUUCGGACAGCUGGCUGCUGCCUGGAAUCUUGUAGGUAUGAAAAAUUCCAGCUACAGUUUCUCUUUGUUCUCUUGAGCCAACCAUAUUUUUUUCUCUCUGCUUUUUUUUUUUUUUCAAUUUUUACUGAACCUUUGCAUUUUUAGGUGUUGUGGUUCUUACAAUACUCAUUCCCCUUGUUGCAACGGAAAGGGCUAGUGCCAAGUUUGUGUUUACACACUUCAACACUGAUAAUGGGGAUGGAAUCAAUAGUAAAGCUUACAUUUUUGUUCUGGGGCUUUUGAUGAGUCAAUAUACCCUCACUGGGUAUGACGCAUCUGCUCAUAUGGUAAGUUGAAUUGUUCUUCAUAUCACGCAGAGUCCUAAUUCCUAUGAAUUCAGUCCUGGGAAUCUCAGAUAUUGCUUUACUUCUCACAAAUAUGUUUCAUUGUUUAUAAACUCAAAAGUCAAACCAAGAACAUCCAGUUUGUUGAAAUCAAGUAGUUCCUUCUUCAAAAGCAUUACGAGCUCACAUAUUUAUUUACUUGCAUAAUAACCAGUACAUUAAUUAACUGUCUUUCCUUUUCACUUUUCUUCUGCUUUAUGGAAAGUUGGAGGAAUGAAACUAAAUAAUCUUUUCUUUCUUACUGUUAUUUCUAGACAGAGGAAACUAAGAAUGCUGAUAAGAAUGGACCAAAAGGAAUAAUUAGCGCCAUCGGGAUAUCAGUUAUAUUUGGAUGGUUUUACAUACUUGGUAUCACCUUUGCAGUAACCAACAUCUCUUACCUCUUGAGUGAAGACAAUGAUGCUGGUGGUUAUGCCAUUGCUGAAAUAUUUUACCUAGCUUUUAAGAGAAGAUAUGGCAGUGGGGUUGGUGGAAUUAUCUGUUUGGGAGUGGUUGCUGUUGCCAUAUUCUUCUGUGGAAUGAGUUCCGUUACAAGCAACUCUAGGUAAUCUCGCUUGUUUGAUAUCUCAUGUUAUCUGAAACUUGUGAUGAGUUUACAAUUCUUACUUGAUUGCUGAGUAAUCUUUGAAUGUUCAUUUUCAGGAUGGCCUAUGCGUUUUCUAGAGAUGGAGCCAUGCCACUCUCAUCACUUUGGCACAAAGUGAACAAUCAGGAGGUCCCCAUAAAUGCUGUUUGGCUCUCUGUGGUCAUAUCAUUCUGCAUGGCAUUGACGGUAUUCAGUUUUCACCAUUUUCAGUUUGCUAUAUUUGCCGUACUUUCUGAAUUUCAUUUCAAGAAUCUUAUUGCAAUCACGCUGUGGAGUUUGUCGUUAAACUACAUUCAGUAAUGACUAUUUUAUUUGCUCAUACUUUUGAUUGCCUAUGAAUCCAGGACAUCAUAUCAAAUACAAACUUGGUUCAGGAGAGUAGGCACGGACCUAGUGAAAAGCAUGUCAUUUUUGUGGUUGGCUAAGGCACACUUUUGCAUUUAACCUCUAAUGUCUGCAUGCAUUCUACUUAUUGCUUCUUCCUAUAUGCUAAAUGUGUGCCCCUUGUUUGCUCGUUAUCUUCUGCAGUAUCUUGGAAGUGAGGUGGCAUUUCAGGCCAUGGUUUCUAUUGCUACGAUUGGGCUGUACAUUGCUUACGCCCUACCCAUCUUCUUCAGGGUGACUUUGGCACGCAAGUCUUUUAUCCCGGGACCAUUCAACUUGGGUCGCUAUGGUGUCCUUGUUGGAUGGAUUGCAGUCCUCUGGGUAGCAACUAUCUCAAUCCUCUUCUCAUUGCCUGUAACCUACCCCAUCACUAACGAGACACUCAACUACACUCCUGUUGCUGUUGGUGGCUUGCUAAUUCUUACCAUCUCUUCUUGGAUCUUGAGUGCUCGUCAUUGGUUCAGAGGUCCUGUAACCAAUGUAUAAAGCUAAGUACGAGCAUCAAGGAAAGAAAUUCUAUUGAUUAUAACGAGGAUAUUCAUCCUAUCAUGAAGUAAGAGGCCUUGAUCAGAUGUACAAGGGAAUAAAAUUUUGCCAGUCGACAAUAGAUAAGCAAGGAAGUUGAUGUCGAUUUAGCACAUCCUUUCGAACAUUGUUCAAUCUAGUUAAAACAUGGAUCAAUCUACUUUUCUUAUCAUUGUCUGAUUAAUUUGGCGCACUUGCAGAAGAAAUCAAGAAAUUGUGUCAGAAAAAUAAUAAUAUGUUUGUUAGUUGUCUUCUGCAAUUGUCCUUUUUCCCCCCCGUGUGUUAGGAAUAGAUUAAUUCACGUGUUAGAAAAAUCUAGUGGGAAGUGUAAUUAAUUCCUUUGGCGCGUGAAGUUAACAGCCUCAAAAAACCUCAUAACUGUCAUCUUUGGAACCUCGAAGACGUGUUGAACAACGAUUGGCUCGAUGAGGAAGACUUUUGGAUCACAAUCACGAUAAGUCUUUCCUCACUCUCUCACACACAAAAGACAUUAAAUUUAUAUUUGUAAUUUUUUUAGUUAUUAAGAAUUGAAUUUUAAAUGAAAUUUAAUAUCAUAAAAAUAAAUUCUACAUCAACCCUUUUUAUUUACAAUUAUAAAAAAAUUUAAGAUUAAAACUAAUUUUUAAAAAAUACUCACUUAUCUAUUUGUUUUUAGAAACCAUUAAAUAAAUAAGAUGAAGGUAAUGGAAAUAAUAUAAAAAAUAAAAUAAAAUAAGUUUUAUCACAUCUAAACAUGUUAAUUUAAUUUAUUUAUUAAUUUAAUUAAAAUGAAAUGCUAUAAUUAAAUUCAAUUUCACAAGAUAAUUAGUUCUAAAAAACCUAGAAAAAGAAGAAGCUAUUUUCCUUGUUGGCAAAUGUAAUUGAUUCUAGUAUGUCCCUAAUUUACAACUUAACCCGAUUAGAAAUAUUAUCUGGCCCUGCAAACGGUGGAACUGAGAUGCUUGCAGGGGGAACCAUUUGAAGAGCUAUUUAUGUUGAAGUGGAAGAAACAAGUGUUUUAUUAUUUUUUAAUAAGUUUGAUGUUAUUUUUUUUUACAUGACUAUAUUUAAUUGGUUUAUUUUUUUAGUGGCCCCACUUUGUUGGUUUUAGCUAUUUAAAAAGAUAUAUAAGAAUAGUAUUUGUGGGAGAGAAAAGAUAUUUUAGCAUUUUAUUUGGCUUUCCUCUUAAAAUAUGCAAAACAAAUAAAAAAAAACUAAAAUAUUAGUUUUUUAAUUUUACCUAUCCAUUUAGCUUCUCCUCUAAAUGGAAAAAAAUAAAUAAAAGAAAAGAAAAGUUGGGUGGGAGGGAUUCACAUGCAGCAGGAUAACGCUAGGUGGUCGGACCCGUGAUGAAACCACGUGUCCAGUUCCACGUCAGUAAAAAGUUCACCCUUCAAGCUUACACGUCAGCCUAAAAAGGUAACGAUGAACAAGAGGGAGAAAGCUAAGCAGCUUCAUUUAAGUCUCCCCCACUCUCUUCUUGUUGAGCUUAAUUUUUCCGAUCAUUUUCUGGAGUCUCCAUUCUUCCGAAGAAAUUAAUCACAGGCACGUAAAGAAAGCCUCUCCUUUUUUUUUAUUAGGGAAUUAUAAUCUACAGUAUAUGUCAUCUUUUGUACUAGAUCUGUUAUUUGAUCAUGUCAUUCUUUGAUUAUUGAUUUGGGGAUGAAUAGGUUUUUAAUUAUUUGAGGGAAUUUAAUGUUUUUCAGACUUCUUUUUUUUAUUUUAGGUCUGAAAUCACCUCCAUGACAGUUGUGUACUCACAUUUUUACUUGUUUGGAAUAAAAUUAGUGUUGAUUGAGCGAAUAUUAAUCUUUUUGAUGAUUUAGUUUAAGAUAAAUUUUAUAUUAUUUUGACCAUUUCUUCUGAUCUGAUAUCUGUGAUGCUCCAAAGGCCCUCUUUAUUUAUUUAUUCUCGCAGGUUCAGACCUGAAUGCAUAUAUUCCCUCUCUCCCUCGCCCCUUUUCCUUCUUAUCUUAUACACAUGCACUCAAGUUAUUAAUAAAGGUUUCCUUGUAAAGUUUUUAGCAGCAGACAUCUUAUCCACUUGAAUUGAUUCUGUAAGCAUGCGGAUGUCACGCCUGAAAGAAUAAAUAUAAUUUUUAAAGAUCAUAGAGUAAUUAUUCAUUGUCAACGAACCGGGUGAAUUGACCAUGUUUUGCAAAAUACCUUUUGCGUAACCCAGAAUUCAUUCUUCUUUAACUCAAGUCUGAACACUCCCCUAAGUGGAUAACUAGCAAUUUUGAGGUCUUGCUGGCCACAUUUAGAGGAUUUUGUGGUGGUGAAUUAUAUUUUUUUUUCUGUACAAUGGGAAGAAAAUUCCAGCUGUUUCACUUACUAUGUUACUGAAUUCUUCAUUUUGGAUGCAGGAAGCUUGUUUCUGCUCUUGGAAACUAUUGCAGAAAAAAUUUACUAAAAGGAAAGCUGUCUUUUAAUGUUAAAGGUAUCUGUCGGUCCUGAAACGAUUCAUGGAGUUAUUAUUUACAAAACUGAAACUUUAACCUGUGAGUUUUUGGAUUUGUGGGAUCAUUGAUGACCUGGAAAUAAUUAAAUGGAGAAAGUUUGCGAAUUCUGCAUGGCCUUGAGGCCAGUCGUUUACUGUAACGCUGAUGCAGCAUAUCUUUGCCUUUCCUGCGAUGCAAAGGUCCAUUCAGCUAAUGCACUUUUUAACCGGCAUCUCCGUACCCUCCUAUGUGACUCAUGCAGGAACCAUCCAGCUUACGCUCAGUGUUUGGACCACCGGAUGCUGAUGUGUCUUGGCUGUGAUCGGUGCCUGCAUGAGGUCUCCUCCCACCAUCAGAAACGGCUAGUCAGUAGCUACUUAGGAUGCCCUUCUGCUAAAGAUUUUGCAUCACUUUGGGGUUUUGAAUUUGGGGAUUUGGAUAAAAGUAUUGUUAAAGAUCAACUAGUUUCCACCCCAUGCUCUUCAUCUGUGCAGCCUAGUGCAUCAAAAUUUGACAUUCCAGGGAAGUCUUGCCAACAAAUUGGACGGUCUUCAAGAAAAUCUAGAGUGAUUCACUCAACUUUGGUCUCUGGUGCAGAGUCUGAUGUUGGAUCAGGCAAUCAACGACCUGAGGUGCGACGAAUUUUAAAAGAUUUUUAAGUAUGUUUAUGCUUGCCAGAAGUUUCUGCUGUUGAGUUAAUUGGGGUUAUAGAUUAUUGUUACUAAAAUUCACGAGGGUUUAUUUUUAUAAUAUAAAACACCAGGUAGCUGCUUAUAUCUGUCCUCAUGGUUUCUACCAUAAUACCAUUAUAUUUUUGUCAAGAAAUUAAAAAAAGUUAAUCCAGGGAAGUUAAUCCAGGGAUGAGGAGUGCACUCAACAAUAUAUUAGGAAGACGAUAUCAAUUGCAACCCAAUUCAAGAUUUUUGGAACUUCAUAUGCAUUGAUAUCCAUGUUCUAGUUACUGAUUGCUAAAUUAUAAAUUUUAAGUUAAGUUGAUUGUAUAUUUGUAAAUUCUAGAUUUCAGGAACUUCAUAUGCACUGAAUUUCCAUGUUCUAGCUACUGAUUGGUAAAUUAUAAAAUUUAAGCUAAGUUAAUUGUAAAUUUAUUCAUCAUGAUACUUUUCAUGACUUCAACAUCUGGACUACUGAGCCGAUAUAUGAACUAUAAUUUAAUAUCUCAUUUUCUUUGCCUAGUAGAAGGAUGAAGUUAAGAUAUCAGAGAUGAUCAUGGGCUAUUGCUUCUAAUGAAAUUGCCACUUGUAAAAAUUAAUCAAAGCAGUUGCAACUAGGAUAAUAUUUAAUGUCUUGUAUAUGAAAUAUUACAAGUUAAUACAACAACUUUGUAUAUGAAGUUUAACACAGAGCUACCUGCUAUUUACAUUAUUUACUUUGCAUCAAUGGAAUAUGAUUUUUGUAACCUGCUAUUUCAACCAUAAAAAUGAUCUUUUAGAUUCACUAUUAGGGAACAAACAAAGAACUAUGCAGUAAUUUUUCUUUCUUUCCCUUUGAAGACUCGAAACCCUUUCUAGUUUGCAUUCUCAGUCUUUUUCAUCAUCUUUCAGUUAUCGUACAAAGGUCCACAGCAGGAAAGUACCUGCUUUAUUCUGGAACAGAUUCUUGAUUUGAAAAGGCUUCAGCUCACUGAUGUCAACAACAAUACUCCUAUGAAACGUGGUCAAGAACAAAAAAACAUUUCUUCAAUGCUGAAUACCUCAAAGAAAAUCUCAAUCAUUCACAACAUUCUCAAGAUCUUGUUACCAUUCUUCAACAAGCUGACUGCCAACGUCAGGGUCUAAAAGUGGAUUCUUUGCCUUUGCCAUUUUCUCAGCCAGAACAUUUACCUUUCUUUUCAACCGCCGCAAAUGCUUUGCCUGGAGAAUCCUUUUGGCCAUGCAAAAGUCCAAUAGAGAAUAGUCAGGUUUGAUCAAAUCAUUGCAAAAAGUGGGUUUUGGAUAAUCAGCUCUAGUUAUAAUUGCCUUGAGGACAUGGAAAGUUUUUCUCACAAUCAAUAAAUUCAUACAUGAAAAACUUAGUCCUAUUCUUCUCAUUGAACCGGCAAUAUGAAUUUCUGCAUUUCCUUUUUGUUGCCAUAAGUUUAUCUCACAUCCAUUAUUUUCUUCAAAGAACACUUACAGAUAGCAUCAUCGGCAAUAUUCAGAAGCUACUUUCAUAAAUGAACAUGUCCUUCACUCAACAAACUGCAUUUUCAUCAUGCAAUAUGUGCAUCUGUGGUGCUUUUGCAAGUGUCAAUUUGUAUCGAAUUACUGGAUAUUUUUUUCUAUCCUUUUCUAUCAUAAGACUUUAAUCACCAUUUUGUUUUUCACUGACUGUUAUGACAUUUAUUUACCGGAUGCAUCACCUAAUCUAUACAACAAUAGAUUAUCUAAUGACACUAUUAUUACAUGAUAAGAAUGUGGAACUGAAAGUGGAUGUUCAGAAAAAAGCUACAAAAAUAUAUUAAUAGAUGUGAAAACGUUGAAUUUGAAUUCGAAUUAAGUUACUUUAUGAUUUGAAGUUUGGUUGUUUUGUUUCAAAAUUGUGUAGCAUCAAUCUUCAACCUUUGCUUGAAUACAGUUGCACGUAAUCACCACAAUAGCAUGACAUUUGUGGUGCUUCCUUGCUCAAUAGUUAUCAACAUUAAAAAGGAUGGCUACAUGUGACUAGAAAAUGAUCCUAGAUUGCCGUUUGAAGUUAACCUCUUGACUCUUUUGUUAAUUAACUUUUGCAGUUGUGGUCUCAAAAUAUGCAAGACCUUGGGGUUUGUGAAGACAUUAUUUGCCAUGAUGAUGAUUAUAUCAUUCCUGAUGUGGAUAAAACAUUUUGCAACUUUGAAGAAUUCUUUGGGGGUGAUCAAGAUCCAAUUGGAGCAUUUCUUGAUGAGAAUGAUUUCUCAUGCUCCUUCAUUGAGAAGGAUAUGCCUCCUGAGAAAUCCAAUAACAGUGAUGGAAGAGCAAGGAAGGUAUGGUUUGACACUUUAAUUUAUGAAAAAAAAUGUCAGUUGCCAAAUACAAUUCGCACAGUGGUUAAGACAGGUGGAAAAGUAAGCAUACAGAAAAUAUUUGUUGUUGAAAUAAGAAAAUUUUCUCACGAGUAACACUUGCAGACAUAUUCUUGAAAAGUGUAAGCAAUGUAGGAAGCAGGUUUUUGCAAUUAGAAUUCGGAUAGUACCAUAUAUCUUUCAAGUUCAGAGUUCUUUUCCUUUUGCGCUAUAUCUAUACUAUUUCAUGGUUGUUUUCAGCAUUAAACACACCGUUUAAACAACUAUCUGAUUAAACCACAUGUUUAUACGUUCCUCUUACAAAAUCCUCAAAACUUAACUAUUUAAGAUAGAAAUAACAGUUCUAGUACGUCCUAAAUCUUUAUGCGAGUGAAAGGAUAAAUUCUGAUCUCUGUACAUUGAAAGUCCCUUAUCUAUUGCAGUUUCAUUUAUAUUCCAACUGUCUCAAAAUUUCUUAAAAUUUGAAGUCCUCUUGAAUAUCGAGAGAAACUUUUGAGGGGAGAUGUAACCAACAUAAGAGAGAAAAUUAGAUGAACCGUUGUUUGUGGGGGCUAAUUGUAACAUUGAUAGUCGACUUGAGAGCGGCAUCACAAAAGGAAAAAAAAAGUGUUGAGGUGCAUAUGUGAGGGUGUGGAAUCCUACAUGGGUUAGGAAUGAAGGAAGUUGAGUUCUUACAUACACAGAUGGAUGCAUGAUAACAGCUUAGGCUCUUGGAUUCAGGGCGGUAUCCAUCAUGUUUACAAGUCUCUACACGAUCGGGUCAAUAACUGUUCUUUCUCUUGUUCUAAUUUUUUUUAAAAAUCUACAGGAUGCUUCUGUUACUUCAUCUGUUUACAUAAGCUGCUCUGUUCACAUUGACAAUGACAAGGAUCCUUCCAACCAAGCUUAUAACUUUCCUGGAAGUCUUGAUCCUGCUCAGACAAUCAGGUCUCCUUAUUCAAGAUACUCCAUUUCAAGUCAUGAUGCUGAAAGCAGGAGUAAUGAAUAUCUUGACAGUGAACUUUCACCAUAUAUAUCUAAUGGUGAAGCAUCAUGCUAUUCACCCGACCUUGAGGAUGCACAUACAGAGGCCCGAGAAAAUGCAAUGAUGAGGUACAAAGAGAAGAAAAAGGCUCGGAUGUAAGUAUAUAUACCCCUGCCAGGAUUUUAUUUCUGAGGAUCUGAGUCAAACUUUUGCUGCUUGGUUCAUCAGCAACAUUAUCUUCUCCAAUUAGUCAUAUAUUUUAUUUGGUCUAUCUAUGACUCCAUGUAACUUUUGAUACAUGACUACCUUCUUUUAACCAGUGAACAAAAAAAUGUUAUCAAAUUAGUAUCGAGGUCUGAAGGUCAUGAAUCAGAACAGUCCAAAACUAAAUUUUAUCGUCUAUAGUUACAAUACCAAUAUCAAAUUGGGAAGGGCAUAGAGCGAAGACUAGUUCAUAACGCUAGGAUAUCCAUCAAUUGCAUGCUAGCACUGAAGAAAUGCUGCAAAUGUCUAAACUUUGCCCUCUUUGUAUCUUAUUAUUAAUAUAAAAAAAGGUGCAUCUAUUUUUAUGCAGUUUCUCUUUUAUCUUGGGUGACCAAAAAAAAAGUAGCAAACCCGAAAAUAAAUUUAGUUCACUCUGUUUUGGCUUUGAGCAUCUUUAUGUAAAUAAACCACAGCACUGUAAAUGUUUUUUAUAGCUGAUUGUUAGGAUGCAAAAGUUGUAAAUCACAUGGAAUGUGUACGAGACGGGCAAUAGUACCACUGGGUUAAUUAAUUAUGGAAUAUUGGGAGUUAAAAGUGGAUAAUGGCCUUGUCGUAAUCCGCCAUAAUUUAUAUGGCUCUCAAGUGCACAAGGAGAUGAUGUCUGCAUACUAGACUUGCUAGUAAUGGUCCUAAUGGAUAAUGAUGCUACAUCAUAUAUCAUAUGGCUUAACUCAUGCUCUGCUCAAAGAUUUCCCGUGGAUGAGUAUUUUGUGAUGGCAUGCUGGAGUUCCAACAAUAAGGUAAUUGUUGCUUUAUAUUGUUCAUACACUCACUGAAUGUGGUGCAUCAGGAGUGUUCUAAAUCAUCCAGUUUGUGGAACAAAGAUAAUGGGGCCUUGGCCUGAUUUCUUUGGCAGAGACCAUUGUGCUUUUUCCCGUGUACAAAAAACUUGUAUUUCGGAUUGUACAUGUGUGUAAUUUAUUUAUAACUUGCAGUUUAAAUUCAUGAGCAAAAAGUAUGUAUAAUUUUGAUUAUGCUCUCAUACAAUAUUUGUCUAAUUUUUCUUUUUUCCAGGCAAGACAAGCAAAUUCGAUAUACUUCUAGGAAACCUAAGAAUGAUGUACGGAAGCGUGGAAAUGGCUGAUUCGUGAAGCUAGAAGGUUGUGGCUGCUACAGUGGAUGUAAAGAUUUUAGGUAAGUUAGAGAUUCUUUUAUUUGAAGAAAUAAACUAAAAUUGGCUCUAUAAAAAAUUGUAUUUGUGAGUUUAUUUAUGUAUGGGGAUCGCUCAUAACAUCUGUCACUAAUUGUGGCUUGAUAAUUGUUUCCAUGAAUAAAUGAUAUUGGUCCAAAUAUAUGCGCAGAGAGAUAUGUAUGGAAUUAUGGAUAUACAGUAUGAUUACAUAUCAUCGGACUUGGCUAUCUGUAUGAUUUUACCAUCAAAACUGAACUAGACUAGAACAAAAGAGUUGAGUAACAUACCUGGUGUAGAUCUUUUGCCUCCAAGCUUAACAUCUCUCAUCUUGGUCUUGAAUGGGAUUUAAUUUAGAACUAUGCCGAUGAAGUUUUUGAAAAUCUCCACUGCAAACGUUAUUCCAGGACGGACGAGGUUAGCUGUUGAUAAUGUUGGGCAUGGACAUCUAUAAUAUUUGCAAAACAAGUUUCCCUGUGGCCCUGUGGGCUCGAGAACCCUCCCCUAAGUAGGAUGCAAUACUGGUGUUUAGUUGCAAAUAAAGUAUUACAGUUAGACAAGAGGAAGAAGAUGAAGUUUGUAAUGAGAGAGAAGAUCUUGCUUUACCUUUGGGUUUAAGGUUAUUUAUAUAGCCUGUAUGUACAAGGAUAAAGUGUUGUGUACAUACAAGGAUAAAGCGGUCAAUAUAUUUGUUACCUAUAGUUUUGAAAUACUCGAGAACAAAAGCCCACAAGUGACAACGGAUUCAUUCGAGGGUUGGCUUUAUCCUUAUUUGAUUAGGGUUGAUGACAUGUUGGAUCGUCAACGCAUCCUUGGGCCCGAGCUGAGGGUGGCAGACCUUGGAGGUGUGUUGGGCUACCAAGACAGCCCCUGAACCAAGUUCACAAAGGCGCCUUCGGAUCCAAACGAUGGCCCAUUUCCACACGAGCUCAAUCUGUCUGCUUUCAUUCCGGUAAACUUCGGGACACAAUGAUUUUAGGCUGGCAUUCAAUCCCGACCCAAUGUUAUGUGAGUGUUUAUGGGCCUUGUUCAAGGAUUGUAAAUCUUGGACCCAUCACUUGGUAAUUUACUUGAUCCACAAGCUAGGACGGUAUAUUUUAUAUUUCGAGUUUCUUCAUUUGAAAACAAUUAAGGAAAUGAUAAAUGAUGGGUCUUCUUCCAUUUCCUUAAUCAGUUUCCUAAGAUAAAAAGAAAUUAGAAAUGAAAUGCCUUACUGUGACUUAGAAAGGCCAAGCCUUUGCUUUGGUAGUUGGAAACUGCGAUGAAUUAUUACAAUUUACAAGUGAAAUGCUUAACGUCGUCCCCUUGAGGUUGGGACAGUCACCUUCAGGCAGGGACGAAGCCGAAAUUAUUUGAUAGAAGAGUUGACAGGAGAGGUCAAAACUAGUAUAAUGUUUCAGAAAUAUUUUAAUUUUUUUAAUUUUAAAUUAAUAUAUUUUUAAUAUUUUAUAUCAUAUUAAUAUCAAAAAUAAUUUUUAAAAAAUAAAACUAAUAUUAUUUUAAUAUGUUUUAAAAUAAAAAAUAUUUUAAAAAAUAAUUAUAUCUACACUCCUAAUCAUGCUAGUAUAAAAGCCAAGGUCUGCCAAUUUAUGCCUAGGGGCGUGUGGAAAGUUAUUGAAUCUGGAUAACGGCAGGUGUCGGCAUGGCUCCCAGCCUCCCAAGUCCCACCCCGUUCCCUCAUGGCCAGUUACCAUUGUCUAGAGCCAUCUGGUCAGACCAAGAGAGGAUUUCUCGAUAUAAUUUUUUAAUUACUUUUUAAAUUUAUUUAUAACCCAUUGAACAUUUUAAUUAAAAAGACUUUGAACCAAGUCAUACUAUAGGAAUAACACAUAUGGUCCAUAGCUAGAGUUUCAGCUUUUACAAUCCAUCAAAUAUAAUUGCUAAUACAAAUUAAGGCCAUCGAUCUUAUCUGUGAUCAUUCUCUGUUUUGUCAACAUAACUCCAAUGUAUUACUCACUUAUUCAGAAGAAGGGAUCUAUUUCUUCAUUCUCAACCAGAAAUUUAAAUAAUGCAUCAUCAACAUGAUGACCGUGCGAUCCCUCAAGUCCAUCUACUGCAAAUCCUAGCCCUCAAACCAUGUUUCAUUUGAAGAAUUAUACUAGCUUUGGGGGUCACAGGGCGGGUUUCCACAACUUGAACAUGGUAGUUAUAAAGAAUAGUUGUAGCGGCGGCCUUCAUGAUACUAAACGCCAUCUCCUUCCCUGGACAAAUCCUAGGUCCUGCGUUGAAGGUAAAGAACUUGGCCGAUCUUUCAUAUUUAAGAUCUCCUUUCUCAUUGAUCCAUCUCUCAGGCUUGAAUUCAUGGCAAUCCUGUCCCCAUACCCUAGCCAUCCUUCCAAUUGCAUAUCCUGACAAAACAACAAUAGCCUUUGGAUCUACAUGGUGACCGCUUGGAAAAAUGUCAGGUCUAACUGGAGUCCUACUCUGGAGAGGAACUGGCGGGUAUAGCCUUAGCGUUUCACACAAGGUAGCAUGGAGAUAAACCAGCUUGCUCAACUCUUUUCUGCUAUUUAGCUGCCAAUUUUGACCUUCCUUCACUGAGAAAUUGGAGUCAAGCUCUUCUCUGAUUUUAGUUUCGACAUGCGGAUUCUUUGAAAGAAGCCAGAAGAACCAAGAGAGAGUUGCACUGGAGGUGUCAUAUGCUGCAAAAAUAAUACCUAUGGUACUGUCUCUUACAAUUUCAUCAGGGUGUUCUUUGUCAUUGACAUCAUUUAUAGUCAAGAAAGAUCGCAACACAUCGAAGGUCUCUUCGUCUUCCUUUGUUUUGGCUCCUGCACUAAGUUCCUCUCUCUUUGUUGCCAUAUAAUUUGUUACAAUUUGACGUAAAGUACCCUUGGCAACACUUAGUCUCUUUUCACUUCCAAUCUGUAACCACCUUAGCAACUUCCAGCAUCUCCCUGGCAAGAUGUGCCUAGUUAACAUUGCUACACAGGCAUCAUCCAUGGCCCUUACGAAUGCAUUUUCCUCAAAACCAAUGGAGAGGGUUUUGGGGUUAUAUCCAGUAGCUAUCGCGCAAGCAGCAUCGUAUAUAUGCCUUUUAAACAUAUCUUGCAAAUCCACCACCAAAGCCUGUUUUGCUACGUCCUCAAGAAAUGGCACCAGACCUUUGUUCACAUUGUCAACCAAAACCUUCGGAACGAAUUGGUGAAACUUCUGGUGACUGAAAAAGCCAUGGAGGAGUCCUCUAUAGUAAGUCCACUCCUCGAAAUCCAAAUUGAAAAGCGAAUUUCCCAGGGUAUCAAACACCUGCAUCGACUCAGGCCCUUUGGGGUAAUUCCAGUAGUUUGUUGUUGUUAUGUAGUGCACAUUUUCUGGAUCGCUUGUGAACCACAUAUCCAUGUUUGAAAACCAAAGACCUUUGAAUAAAUAAGUACCUCCGCUUAUCUCGAGAAUUUCAUCAGCUAGUUCGUAAAACCGGUGAAAGUUGAGAAGAAGCGUUGGGGACAUGCCAAGGAGGGGCCAGUUCCAUGGAAGGCCAUUUUUGCUUCUAAACAAGCAAAUGAGGACGAGAAAGAAAGCAAUGGCCAAAAUGGAUUCUGCUACCAUGGUGUGUAAUAUGAUGGAUAUUGGAAGAAUGCAUCGAUCGACGACUUAUUUAUAUUGCUUGGAGGGAGUAUUAAGGUUUUUUUUUUUUUUUUUCCCGACGGCCUCCUGAUGCGCAAGGUGCCAUACGUAGCACUAAAUUGAUACCACCUGCUUCCUGACAACCAGAAAUUGAGGCGGAGUGCACUGACAACAAUUAAGCAGCAAAUAUUUACCCAAUUAAAGUUAAAUUUGUAGUAGAUUAACUGAUCAUAUUUUAGAUUUAUUUUUUAGAGGUUAUUAAUUCGAGUUUUACAAGUUUUAUAAAUUUUAGAGACACUAAAAAUUUAUAUGGUUAUUAAUUUCAGGACAUGUAGAAUUAGUCGAGGGACGCGUAAAUUCAUGUUAAUAAAAAAAAAUAUUUCAUCAAAUUGCAACUUGAUAAACCUAUAUGUUCCUCCACCUUGUUGUUUCUCAAGUCGUUCAUUGGAGUGAUGAGAGUAAUCACAAGGAAAAUGCGAACUUGUGAUUUUAGAAGGCCAACCAUUAGGUUAAAUGGGUUUGUUAUUCUCAAUUUAUCAUAAUCAACUAAAAAUUAUCCUAAUUUUUUUUAGAUUAAUAUGGAGAUUAGUUUACGCGCACCUCAAUUAAUCUUACAGGUUUUGAAAUUAAUGAUCAUGUAAGCCUCCAGUGACUCUGAGGUUUGUGGAACUCAAACUCGAGUGAUCUUAGAGAACAAAUCCAGAACCUGACCAGUUAAGCUAUACUCCCAUAUUAAAAUACCCUAAUUCUUAAAACAAAAUAAAAUACAGCAUUCAAUUGUCCUAUCAAGUGUACCAGAGGUAAUGGCCUUCUUACAAGCUUUCUUACUGAGGUACUGAAACUACUUUUGAUGCGGGCUCUUGGUGUCCCGACUUCAGCGACGGAGCCACGUAGGGUCAAAAGGGGGCAAUUGCCCCCUUAAUUUUUUUUAUAUAUUUUUUAUAUUAGAAUAUUAAUAUAGUAAUAUGGUGAGGGCUUGAGGGGUUGACACACACAGAGACGCAAAUGAAAUAUUGUUGACUUGUAUUUUAAUAUAAUAAAUAAUAUAUAUAAUAUAUGUUUUAUGUUUAGGUUUCCAGAACUCACUCUAGCUCAUUUCUCAUUUCCCCGAACGUUUUCCUUUUCUUUCUUUUUCUUCCACUCACUAUCCGAGAGCUUUUCUAUUUUUUUUUAGCUACUAUCCCUGCCACUUUUCCUUCUACAAAUUUCUCUUCAAAUCCAAUUAAGCAAGUAACUUUUUUUUAACUUUAGAUGAAUUUUCUUCAUUUUUUCUAUUUAUUUUAUUAUCUAAUUUUAAUUUUAUUAUUUUAUAAUUAGUUAUUAAAAAUAUUAAGGUUAUAAUAAUUUAAGGGUUUUGAUAUGUAUAAUGUUUUGAAUCAAUUAAAAGUGAAUGGUAGACACCAGCAAGAUUUUGAACAAUAGACAUUGAUUUAAUUGUUUUGAAUUAAUUAAAGGUUAUAUAAUUUCCGAUUGAAUUGGUUACAGUAUGGAAUUAAACUUUUCCACAAGAUGAACAAGCAAAUAUUCCAAUUGUUAUCGGUGAGUAAAGAUUGAUAUUUGUAGAAUUAAAUUUUUUUUAGCUUGAGAUUGGUUCUUUUUAUGAUGUUAAUUUUCUUGUGCCUUCCUAUAAAAUAAUCAGUACAUAUGAUUAAAUAAUUCAUAUUUUAUUUGUUUUUUUUCUCUUUUUUGUUUUCGUCAGACAAUUUGUGUUUUGCUGGAGCCUGGAGAAGAAUUAACACGUGCGUUCAAGCCUGCAGGUUAGUUUUUUUUUUUUAAAAAAAAAAAAAACUAUUUUUUGUAAGUUUUUUCAUUUUAAAAGUAUUUUUAAAUUAAUUUUGCUUUAUAUGAGUUAGUAUAUUUAUUUCAAAUUAAUUUUAAAUGCAUAUCUAUAUAAUAUAAUAUUUAUUAAUAAUUUAUACCCUCAUUUAAAAAAUUCUGGCUCCUUACUGCCCGACUUUGAUUUUUUUUGGGUACUAAAUUCCUGCUGUCGGAAGGAUCGACGGAGGUUUGAUGAAAGCCCUAGGAUUGCAAGAGUGCACUGGUUGGCCCAAGGAAAUGAAGCAAAAUAGUCACGCCCAGCACCAUUAGCUUCCGAUGCUCUUCGACAAAUAUUGAAAGACGGGUGUUAAAGUGGGAUCCAUUCACUGAAAGAAACUUUCGUCCACCCGUUCAAUUCAAAAACAUUUUGAUCAGAAUCAGAAUCGACGUCUGAUAUUGAUCCAGUAACAUAUCUUCCACCCACCUGGCAAGUAAGAGUAUACCCUGGUGACGUGUAAAAGACACGUGCAGUUUAAGGAAGCAACUGGACUGAGCUUGAUUCAAGUGAAAAUAACUGAGAUACCCUUAUGAAAACCCGCGCUGGCGUGGCAAAACUGUCAAAAUACAGUUGGAAAGAAAUGUUUUUGCGUGGGAACGAUUUUGAGGGGAAGAAGGGAAAGAAAAAAGAGUCCUCCCUUUCCCUCCAAUUUUCUCUCUCUAUAAAAACCCCACUCUCUCUUCUCUUCCUGCUUCAGCUUCAGGUUCGCUUAUCAUUUUUUCUCAUUCUUUGCUCAAUCAUCGAUUCAUUACUGAUUUCUUUCAAUUCUUGGAUCACAAUUACAGUGAAAAAAAAGAAAUUUCUUAUAAUAAGAACCGCUAACCUUGAUGUUGAUUUUGUGUUUCAUUGACGGAGCAAGAGGGCGAGAGCACAGGCACAUCCGAUAACUUGUCUCUAGCUUAGAAAAAGCCCACACCAUCUACAAGUGUUGUUAGCUCAUAGCCCAGAACAUCAGCCCUGAUAACAUUAAGUAGCCCAUUGAAGAGUCUAGUCCAUAUACAUCCAGACCAUACAUCCAUCAAUUUCUUGUUUGUUUCACGUUACAACAUCACAUCACCUAUAACUUUUUUACGUCCAAUUAUCCUAACUUUUGAGUAACUUUGUAUUUGAACUCGUAGCCUUGAUUUUUCAAUUUAUUUUCUUUAUCAUGAAAGUUUUUUUCAAUACAUAAAAAAUAUAAAAAAAUAUAUUAAAGAAUCUACUAUAAAUAAAUAAAAAAUUAUUAAUUAAUAUUUUUUAUAAUUAAAAUUAAAAUUAAAAUUAAAAAAUCAAAUAAAACAUUUGAGACAAAUAAUUUCAGCCCUGUUUAUUUGCUGGAAAGUGGUUUUCUUUUGGAAGGUGAAUUCUGGAAAAGUGAAUUCCGGGAAAGUGAAUUAUUUUCUGAUGUUUGGUAGUGUAAUGGAAAAUAAGUUGGAAAAUAUUUUCCAGUGUUUGGUUAUGUCAUGGAAAAUGAGCUGGAAAAUAACUUAUUAAUAUUUUAUUUUUCUCAAGUUUAUUAAAAUAAUGAGGAACAAAUCUUACAAAUUAAAAAGUUGAAUGAGAAUGAAAAUUUAAAAAAAUAUAUAAAUUAUCUCAAAUAAAAUAAAUAAUAAUCAAAAUAAUAGAGAUUAAAUCUAAAAAAUAAAAAAUUAAAGAUGAAGAAAUUAAAAUAAUAAUAAUUAACAUUUCAUAAAUUAUUUUAAAUAAAAUAAGUAACAAUCAAAAGAAUAAGGAUCAAAUUUGAUAGAUAAAAAAUUUCAAUAAAAAAAUGAUAAGAAAAAAUCAAAUAACAAUUAUAAAAAUGAGGACCAAAAUUAAUAUAAAAAUUAAAUUUUAAGAGAUGAAAUUGAAAAAUAAAUAUUCAAAACAAAAUAUAUAUAGCAAUCAAAAGUUUGAGGACCAAAUUUGAUAUAAUCAACAAAUAAUAUAACAUUUUUAAAUUUUUCACAACUUCCGGAAAGUGUUUUCCGCCUAGAUUUUUCAGGAAAACACUUUUCUGAAAAUCAAGCUAAAUUUUUCUUUGACUGGAAAGUGUUUUUUAUUAACCAGUUUUUUUAAUAACAAACAAACAUAAAAAAAUUUAAAAAGUAGUUUUUUUUAAAUUAUUUUUCAAUAAACAAACAUCCCUCCAUGUGUAAGAGUAGAAGUUGGUGCAAAGUAGAAAUGGUAAAUUAGAAUAUAUGGUGUACUUGGAAAUAUAUUUUAAAAAAUUACUUUUAAUAUUACUCCAUCAAAACAAUAAAUAAAGUAAAUAAAAAAUUUAAAUUUUUAGAAAGCCGAAUUUUAAAAGCGUACCCAGACAGCAUCGACGCUGUUCUCUUUAUUGCUUCUUUACCCAGCAGGUACCAUCCACCGUCCAGGUCCACUCUCCACUCUCAACUAGUGGCCAGAAUCUCUCCUCUCUUUUUUUUUUACAUCUUAUCUCUACACCAACCACUUUUUUGGCAUGGCCCGAGACAUUGGAAUUAGGAGCAUCAAACGCGUAUUUUUUUUUUUUAAUUAUUAUUAAUAUAAAUGUUUGGAUGAACUUGGACGUAAUUUGAUUAAUUUUAACAUAUUUUAAAAUUAAUUAUUAUAUAAAUUUUUAAUAAUUAUUAUAUUAAUAAUCAUAGGACUUAAAAUUAAAAUUUCAAAAAAAACAAUCUCUUUAAUUCCAAGAUUUUACCGCAGCCCACCCAGUAAAUGGUUUCAAACGCGUCUUUUUGAAACUGGUGUUCAGAGGUUAACAAAAGCACUUUAUGUAAGAAGUAAUUUUUUCAAAAAUCAUAUCCAACGCACUUUGCUAGUUAGCUUUCUUUGCCUAUAUUAACACCAUCUAGAAAGCCAUCGUCUUCAACUUGCUCCUGUCUAUGGUGUGUAAUAGAUGAGAGAAACGGAGAGUCCUAGCAAGUCUUUGGAGAUGGGAGAGUAUGCAAGAAGGAAAAAUUCAUGAUUUAAUAUUCUUUCUUGCCUACUCCUCCCAUUCCAUCUGCUUUCUGCGACUCCUCUCUUUCCUUAUUCUAGACAAAAGCGUGAUCUAAAAUUAAUCAAGGAGCAAGAGGGAAAGGAAAGAGGGUUGCUGGGAGUUACGGGUAUGGGAGGAUUGGACAGUACUGCUUGGUUUUAAUUAACCAAAGUCUGUUCUUUCCAACGCCUCCCAUACCGGUAAUCUCCAGCUGUUUCCUCCCUUUCCCUUGCUUGUCCUGCUUCAGAUCCUUCAGUUCGGUAAGAUCUGUCCUUGUAUGCUUGUCGUUGGUCACAUGAUGAUGGUGGUGAUGCGUGCUCUUCUUUUGUUUUUUAAAAAAGAACAUCCUUUCGUUGACUUGUUAAUCUUGCUUUUACGCGGGAUAUUGUUACAUGUCUUGUAUAAUGAUUUUUAUUAGCCCUUUUUUUAUGCUCAGGUGACAAAAGCGAGUUGUUGGUUAUGGAGUAUCGUUGAAAAGAUUAGAGGAAGUUUUGAUCUGUUGGUAGAUCUGAGUAAAUCAUUUGUCAAUACAGCUAGAUUUAAUAUUAGCAACUGAUAAAUCAUGUGUUUUGAAAUGACAACUGUGAUAUUCACAACAUAUCUGUUCGCGCCUCUUCGAUUCCGGGGAUGCUGUCUCAGUUAGUUCUAUACUGCAGUGCUUAAUUAGCUCUGAUGUUCCUUGAUUUGUUCUUUGAAUUUGGAAUUUAUUUUGAGCAUCUGUCCACGCGUUUCUUCUAGUAUGGAUGACCCCAACAUGAUUCAUCCGAUGGGUGGAUGAAAUCAUAUCAUACGGGUGUGGUCAGCUUUGUUUCUGUGAGUAAGGUGCAGAAGUUUGAAGCUUUAAUGCUAUAUGAUUCUAUGGCUUGAUGUGUUUUGUUCUGCUUGCUAUCGAUGUGGAUGAUUCUGUCAAAUAUGAAGUUCUUCGAGAUUUAAAUAUUCAGACUUAGAGGAGUGACACACCACACCACCACCUAUAACUGUGUCUGUGAUCAUCGUAUCUAAACAACGGAUGCAUCAAUGGUCUGUUAUUUUAUGAGGAUAGUGUGAACUGAUUGACUUUCAAGAUUAAACUGUUGAUUAUAUGUGGUCUCCUGGUAUAUGCCAAGGGGUGGUCUACUGCUCAUACGUGAACGCCCUAGUCUCAAUCAGUUAUAUCGAAAUUAAUGUUUUUAACUAACAAAAAUAGUAAACAGACAUGGACGCAUUGGCGACUUUGAUUUUCAAUUAAAUAACGUAGUAUUUUAUUCAAUCUUAGUUUGAUCAAUUAAAAAUUGGACAAAUAUCCACUAAAUUGAAUAUAAUUGUUGUUUCUAUGAAUUAUCACUUUCUCGUUUCUAUUAGAACACAAAAAUUCAAAACAGACGAUCUUGUUCUUUAUUUUUUGGUAAACCACGUACAGGAAAAUAUUAGGGACUAAACAGUGACUUUCUCAUCUCUGAACUUUAAUCUGAAAAAGGUGAAGACGAAGAAUUAAGAAUUUACCUGAAAGAAAUACAAGCUACGUGCCCCUCUUGCAAAUGAAGCUUUAGAAAAUUUGAGAUGUAUCUUCGAUGUCAAAUAGAAAGGUGUGUACAGUGACAGAAGGGUAUGUUUGUGAUUUAAUAGUGAUGAUUGUUGGUAUUUUUUAUUUAGAAAUGUAUUAAAAUAAUUUUUUUUAUUUUUAAAAAUUAUUUUUAAUAUUAGGAAAUUAAAACAAUCCAUAAAUAUAUAAAAGAAAAUCAUUUUAAAUAAAUGUUUUUUUAAAAUUUAAAAAAACAUAGUUUAUACCCAUACCAAAUAUUCCCAACAAGUUUAGCUGAUAAGUUGCGCGUGUUUCUUUAACAUAAAUGUAUACAUGUGAAUUUGCGAAUUUUUCGAAGGUUGUGCUACGCAUUUGAGCAAUCUUCACUAUUUUUUUGUGGUGUUAUUCUUACUUGGUAUAAUCAAUUGAAUUGUGUUAUUGGAGGUCUCAGAUGAAUGACAACGUAUACUCGUUUUAAAGGGUGUUUGGUAGUAUCUUCUGUCCCCAACUACUCGUUUUAAAGGGUGUUUGGUAGUAUUUCUAUCCCCAACUAAAGGGUGUCUGGUGGUUGAAGUUAUUUCUUUAAUGUAUUUUACUUUGAAAUAUAUUAAAAUAAUAUUUUUUUUGUAUUUUACUUUGAAAUAUAUUAAAAUAAUAUUUUUUUUAUUUUUUUAAAAUUAUUUUUAAUAUUACCACAUCAAAAUAAUUUAAAAAUAUUAAUUUAAAUAAAAAAAUUAAUUAGUUACCGUUACAGUGAAUAAUUCGGUCAUUUCACGAUCAUAUUGUACGAUUUUUUUUCUUUCGUCAAUAUUGUACGAUUUUUUUUCUUUCGUCAAGGAAUCCGAGGUCCGUGCCUUUCAGAUAGGCGUUGUUGGGCUGGAAGGAUAAAAAAGGAGGAUGCUUGCAUAGAGUAUGUAAUGUAUGACAGGAGACGGGAUUUUAAUUAUGGCUUCGUAAAUUUUUGCCCCAUUCCUCUCGAUUACAAGCCUUGUCUGUGGGCUAUUGGCAUUUGUAUUGUCUAUUGAUUAGUUUUUAAUUCAUAGCGGCUUAUAUUAUAGUUUACAAACACAGUAAAGCAAUCAUAGAAAAAAUAAAUUUUUUAAGUGAAAAGUACAGCAAGUUUUAACCCUAAAUUCAUAAUUUAUUAUUAUAAAAUAAAAUCCAAUAAUAUAUCUACUCGAGAGAUUUAUAAUAUCUUUUAUGGGAUAUGAAAAAGCAGUAAUACUAUCACAAUUCUAAGACAUAAAAAAAUAACAUAAAAUCUGAAAUAACACAAAAUAAAUCUAGAAAAAAUAGUGAAACAGACAUUCCAAGCCUAUUUUUGGGAAAUUUAUGUAGUGAAUAAAUUGCUAAAGGGAGUCCCGAAUAUAAUUCAGCUUAAAAAAUCUUGUAUAAAAAUUUGAGUCUCAUCGAGUAAAAAAUAAUGGUUUUUAAUUGCUAUACUAGUUUGACACAACUUGCUCUUUUCUUGAGAUAACCUUGUUCUAUUAAUCCAUAAAAAUAUAUUAAUUCAUAAAAACAUAUGUUAGAUCAUCUACAUGGUCUCUUUAAAGUAUAUCCCUAUCUAGUUAUAGCAGAUUUUGUUAGGGCAUUGCGUAGCAAGAAAGCUUUGAGGUGUGAAAAUUAUUAUAUUUAAGAUAUUAAUUGUUUUCACUAUGUUUGUUGCAGGGUUAAAGUAAUAUAAUUUAAGGGUACAACAUGACCUUGACAUUUAUAGACAACAACUUAUAUAAGUUUUUAAAAAUUUUUGUUUUAUUUAUAUGAACGUAAAGAAAGAGUUUGUGGAGAAAAAAUAAGGAGAAAAUAAAAUUGAUUUCUAAUUGAUUUAUGUCGAUGUCUAAUUGAUAUUUAUAAGAAAAAUAAUAUCACUUUUGAUCAUCAUGUUUAUAAAAAUUUAAUAUAUAUAUUGAUUUUUCCUUAAAAUCUUCUAUUCAACAUCUAAAAUUAUUGAUUAGAUAUCACUCACUUUAUAAAUUACAACAAAACCACAAUCAUUUCCAUUAUAGAAUAAAGUUAUCUUUACUUCCACGAUAUCCAAGCUAUUAUAUAAAAUACUCACCAAAUUACUCAUGACCUUCCGUUCCGGGGGACUCGGGUGCCACUGAUUUUAGGCUAAGGAACCCUCAUGACAACUUUAUAAGGAUUCGAUAUUUUGGUCAAAGCUGACCACUGACCAGUGAAUGGAUUAUAUUAUUUUAAUAAAAACUUUAAAUAUUUUAUUGCUCCCUUUCUGUCGUGGAUCUAUUUCUUUAUCAGAGAUGGUGUCAGGUCCGUCCGGCUAUGUUGAAAAUUUGUUUUUCCAGCAUUUUUCUUUGCUCUGGAGGAUUAGGUAAAGGCGUAAACUAAUUGUUGCUUCCACAGAGAAGAGACGUUGUCUCAAGCUAUAAUACAUAAUUAUGGCAUUGAAUUACGCGAUGGACUUACUCAACUCUUAUACUUCAUUUAUUAGAGUGAUGAGAUUGGGUAGGAGCUUGAAUUAGAAGUCGGUGCUACUCCACAGAGCAAUGGCUUCCUGUUCUCUGGGCCGAACGUCGAUUCAAUUACGAUUAUCAUCAGUCCUGGCCAUCUUCGUCUUGCAGUUGGUCUUUGUAAAUGCAGGUUUGUUUGUUAUGUUCAUACGUAGGUGGCGAUAAAUUUUACAGCUAUUAGCUAAAUUUGAUGUUUAGUAUUUCAAGUUAUCGAUUAGUCUAUCCACUGAUUCUUGGUGUUGAUGGUAUCGAGCUCGAAAACUUUCUGGUUCUGAAUUUGUUCGAUGAUUAAUACCCAGUGAGGGUUGACACUUUAGUGAUUUCUAGUCGAUUUUUUUUGAGUUUAUAUGAUGAAAUCCACAGCUCUUAUUUACUUCAACUUUUAGUUCCUCAUUUCUUGACUUUUAGCAGGGCAAAAUACAAGGAUGCUAGGAGGGAGACUCAAUGAUCUAAGCCCUCCUCCAAGUCCAAAACCAGGCAGGCUACGACACAUGAUACCUCCCGAGAUUCCACCAAGUACCCGGACGUCACCGCCGUCGCCCCCACCCUCUCAUUCGUAAUGAGUGCUAAACACACGAGCUCACUUAUUAUACAAUUUGUACCACAGUCACGAUUUCUAGCUUUCGCUUUUUUGUUCUAUGGUUUUAUGAUGGAGCAUAUUUGAUGAGAAAAUGGAUGUUUUUGUUGGAAAUUCCAGUUAAACUUGGUAAUCAUGUUUUUAAAAAUUCAAGCAGUGUAUGAAUAAAGUUCUGAUUUGAAUAAUUAGUUAAUUAAUUAGUCUAAGUAAUCUUAUUUAUUUUUUUAGUUAAAGUAGUUGAUAAUUUAUAAUUGGUACUUGGUAGACCAAGAUAGUUUGUAGCUAGUAAUUGUAGAAGGUUUAUUUUUAUGGAGAUGAUGACUUUCUGAUACUUAAAUAAAUAUCUUUUUAGAAAGAGAAAAUACAAUAAUAUUCUAUGAAAAUAUAUUUACAUUAGAGAAUGAAGAUUGUGAACCUUUAUUUUAAAGGUCUCAUAAUAAAGAAAAGAGUAUAGAGAAUAAUUUUAACCUUGUGAUAUUUUGAGUUAUAUUCUACUCAAAAUAAUAUAUAUUGAAUCGGUAUAAAAUACCAAGAGACUCGCAUGAGAUCUCGAAAAAAUUAUCUAAUGAAUGGGCUCAGACACCUUAGAAUUUGUUGUACUUUGGGCUUAAGAUAUCAAGCCUGAGCCCAAGAGAUAUUAAGUAUUUUAUUUAUUUUAUUUGUAUCCAUCACUUGGAAUAUGAGAUCUAGCUCAUUUUAAACAAAGAAGAAAUAUAGUUAACAUGGUGAUAACCCUCAUUGCCAUCUUCAUGUUUAUUUUCCAACAACGGUCACGGUCCAAUAGUUUAGCUGCAUGGCGAGCUAUAGUAGUGUAUUACCAUGUUCUAGUUGGGCUUUGUAUUUUCCAAUUCCCACUAUUCGAUCUAGAAGAGUUAAAAUCCUGGCCUUCCUUUCAUUUAAUGGAAGUGAUUAUUCGGUCGCUCAAAAAUAAAAUCAUCCUCGUUUCAUCUUGCAAAUCCAAAGUAGAGCAAUAUUAUACAACCAUUAGAUAACUAGUGAUCAAUAAAAGUUGACUACAAAGUAUGAACUUAUUAGACAUCAUGAAUUACUCGGCCCAACUUGACCAAUUAACUUUGGAUUCAAGGUCUUGAUCAGGUUUUAAAGAGAAAAAACUCAAACCUAUAAUUGGUCUGUUAAAACCCGGUUGACCUGCUAGAUUAAUCUAAAACUUGGGUGACUCGACUUAUAAUUUUUAUAGUGAUAUUUUUUUUACAUUUUUUUUAUAGUCCUGAAAAUAUAAAAUUAAUUUAUGAAUACUUAACCUUAUAUUUUUUUAUAGGUUCCAUUCACAUUAAUUGUUCCCUAACUUUUUAACGUGUGAUACCUCUAUAUAGUCUGUAUCCAUAUGAAAUGUUUCUUAACUUUUAGAUGUGAGAUAACUAUAUAUAGCUUUCGAUGUGGGAUAACUAGAUAUAGUCUACAUCCAUAUGGAGUGUUUCUUAACUUUUCAAUGUGAAAUUACUAUAUAUAGCCUACAUGCACAUGUAUUGUGUCAUGGGAACAAAAUUUCCAACACAAUUUUGAUCCCAACGUGGUAGUCUAGUCCAGUUACUAGACUCAGCCUUACUUUCAAUCCAUUCAUGUUUGCCUACAGUUUAAUUUUUUCGCGCUCCCAUAGGUUUUUCAUAAACUCUUACCAAUUUAGGCAACCAAAGAACGCAAGAAAAUCAUAGAUCAUGACACAACGAUAACACAAGAAAUUACAGGAAUUAGCUCAUCCUUUUUUAGUUCAUCAACAAAGAAAAUACACAACAAUCACGUGUGUGUGUGUUACGCACAAUCUGAUCAACAUGCUACACAUUUCAGGCUAUAUAUAAUAAACAAGAUAUAAUGAAAGUUACGUGUCAAAACUGCCUCUACGGAUGGACACAAAUUUGGACAGCACGUUCCAUAGACAACCAAUUGCAUGUAACUUCCCAACAUCAACUUUUUUGGUCUGUCACCCAACAAACCAAUUGCCCAAACUAAUUUUCCAUACCAUCAGCCCUCUUGUGUGAUCUAAAAUGCCUUAGGCAAUCCAUCAUCUAAGCAAAGGAUGGUGCCAAGCAUGAACCUGAUGCUUGCAUGCACACAUUAUAUGCCGCCAUUGCUCAUUGUCCACGCAUGCUGCCAUUGCUCAUGCAUUCUGCUACUAUCCAACAAUGUCUUGUUGACGUGCCCUAGCGUCUAUACCUAUGAUAUAUUGUUUUUUUUUUUUUUACUUUUUGAUGUGGAAGAAUUAUUAUAUGUUUAAUGCCUCAUAUUUCUUUUUUAUAACUUGCAUUUAUAUAUAUAUACAUUGUUUCAAGACUUUUCCAUGUGAGUUCUUAAAACCUUAUAUAUUUUUUUAAAAUUUUUUCAAGUUAACAAGUGUAACCCAGGACCUAACUUCUUGUCCGAGUUAAUCCCAGGUUGGGUUUAAUAAUUUUGAUCUAGACAAUUUCUUUUUACCGCCUAAAUUACAAAGCAGAAAUGCACACCGACUCUCCUCAAUAUGUGCAGUUGCCUCGCAAUACUUCAGUUGAGAACGAAAUCCAACUAAUUUAAUCAUGUAUUUUUGAUAAAUUAUAAAAGAAUUCCAUUAACAGAUCAUAAAUUAAGAAGCAGUAGCCUAGAGAAAUAAGAUUUAAUUAGCAAUCUUGUUACAUGUUGAUUUUUAAGUUAUUAUAUUUAUUUAUUCAAACAACCUACACGUAAAGUAUACUCCUUGUGUCUUACUAACCUGAGUGGAGACGGGUAAAAGGAUCAAUUAUUUUGCCCUCUAUAAUUACAAAUGCUAGAAAACAUAUAUAGACGUGAAACUUAUAAGCAUAUCUUAAUGUAAUGAUUCAACCCUACGUGUUUAUUUUUGAAAAACUUUCUUGUCGUAUUUUAUUAAUAUUUUGCAUUAUCCUAUCGCUUCCAUGGUUUCAAUAGUUCAAUACAUAGAAUAAUUAAGACGUACGAUUCCUCCAAGCGUUUCACAAGUUCAGGAUCUUUUUUUUUCAUCCCUUCUUCUGCUCGAUUGAUGAUCAUUUCACUAUAACAUUUGCUUAUCUUAGUGAGCUGAAGUCUCGCAUACCUUGUUAUUGUAUUUUCCGUUCACCCUGCUAGCUUAGCGUAGAGAGAAGAGUUGCAUCAAAUCAAAUCAAAGUAGAAAAUUGAUGGGAGGAACAAAAGGCAAAACCUAAGUGGAAGAUUCUGAGUAAUUUCGAGAACUUAGAUUUUGACAACACGCGUAAUUCACGAGAAUAAAGAAAUUAUGUGACUGAAGUGUUUCUAUUUCAUUUCUUUGCUCGUCUGUCGUUCUCUCGCUGACAAGAGACUAGCAGUGCAUACAAUACAACAGACAAAGUAUUGUAUACUCAACCCUCAAGGCCCAGGAAAUUGAGUAUUUUUGUACUUUAGCACUUUAAAAAAAUAAAUAAAAUAAUAUAAAAAACAUUUAAAAAAUUAGAACAGUUUAAAGAAUUGCAGAUAAUUUCACUCGUUGCUAAUUGCACAAGUCAAUGAAAGAAAUUGAUGACUGUUCAACCUUUUGACUUGUUUGCCUGAAUGAAUCAUUAUCACGUGAUGCAAGAUCCUUCAAGAUGGAAAAUUAAAGUUGAUCGUGUUCCUUGAACCCCUUUUUUUCUUCCCCUAUUGACACGUAGCAAUCGCUUUUAACCAAACCGUUCAGCCAUUUCUUCUGUCGUUACCUCCUCAGUUUACUAAUCAUGUUUAUUAUUUAUUAUUGUUUUCAGACCGUAAAUAUUACUUUUACUUUAAUAAUUUUUGUGCAUUCCUGACAAAAACAAUAGAUCACAUCUGAAUAAGUCAAGUAGUUUUCAAAGAUGAAAUUGAUUCCAUUCAUUCCUAGAAUUCGAAAGUAAGAGUGUUUCAAUCCAAUCACUUUGAUAAUUGAAAAUAGCUAAUAUUAGCAAAAAAUAUUUUAAUAGAAAUAUCUAAUAUAUAUAUAUAUAAAAAGGGUCUAACAUGAUAAACUUAUUUCCAAAACCAAGAAAAGGAGGAAAUUGUCACUGUUUUCACUUGUGAAUCUAAUAAGCUCUUAAUAAAAAUUUCACAGAGCUGGGCUUUGAGUUAGAUUUUAAACUCGAGGCUCCACACCAAGGAAACUAAGCCCAAAAGACAGUUUGUUAAUCAGCCUAAGUAACCUCACGGAAGUGGAGAGUGUGGUUUUUUUUUUUUAAUUAUGAUAGUGUUUGUUGUUGUGAUUUAAAAUGUUAUUUAUUUAGAAAUUUAUUAAAAUAAUAUUUUUUUUAUUUUUUAAAAAUUAUUUUUAAUACCAGCACAUCAAAACAAUAUAAAAAUAUAUAAAAAAUAAAUUUUAACAAAAAAAAACACGAUUUUUUACACCAAACAUUCCUUAAAUCAUACAGCUACUCCACAAGGAAGCAAAAUAUCAUGAAGAAAUGGUACAACCUUUUCACUGGUAGGGAACAAAUCACUAGAGGACAAGAGAAAAGAGAAUAAAGGGGCCCACAGUAAGCACAAGCAAGAUUAGCCAAUCAUUUUUGAAACUAGUGUGCUGAAUAUUGUUAUUUAAGUAUGAUUUACUCCAAGAAAGUUUGUCAAGAGUGUAAAAAAAUACUGACCUUCAUGCACAUUCACAUGGGCCUCAGCUUCUUCUCCACUUUCACACCAACCCUCACUGGUCACAGUGAAAAGGUUCAAAAAAACAAAAAAAAAGGAACACCAUCCAUACGGGAUCCAAUGUUAAAUAGUCGAGGAGGAAGCAUGCGUGUACUCACAGUUAUUUCCCUUUCCGUCAAAAAAUCUUCUCUUGGUAAAAGCCAUUGCUGUUGGACGAGAUAAACUUUCGAGGCCUCACGCGCCGCUCUUUGUCCACUAACUGCUAGACAGUGAAAGAACAAGCUGCUCUCUUUGGUUUUCUAAUGGGACAUUUAGCCGUAAAUGAGGCCGUCGAGUAUCAAAUGAUUGAUCCUUUUCAAGCUAGCCCGCGGGCUGUUGUCUUGCCAUUCCCACUUGCACGCCCGCAGAUGGGGUUUAUGUUAAUAUGUACACGUGAGUCUCCCGUAAUUCUUCUCAGUCAGUUUGUUGCAAACCAAGUUUUUUCGUGAAGGAAAGAUCUGCCGCUGAUACAAUGAAGGAUCGACUGAAGCUUUGUUUGACACAACUAGUUUGUUUGAUAUCAUGGCCUGUCCCCCACACUGGGUUUUGUUCAUUUCCACAAGUUGGAUAAUUAAGGUUUCCCCUGGGCUAGCUGGGUUAGGUCAUCCAAAGAUCUAGUUUCUACGCUGCAUGCGGGCUACAAAUUUAGUGAACGAACGCUGUUUUUUCAAAUAUAUAUAUAGUGUUUUUUCAAAUAUUUCAAAUUCUUCAAGAAACUGUUGAAAAAGUAGUGUGCACAGACAUUUUUUUUUAGAUUUCUGUCAAAAUCUUCUUUGAUUGAAACUCGAUUUUUUAUUUAUGUAUUUUUUUUCUUUUACAAGAACAUUUUUUUUGUAUUCAAAGCAUCGUUUUUUUAAGUAAAAAGUUAUCACGAAAAGAAAGUCUCCGUGAAUAGUACUAUAAUAUUAUGCCUUGGUAAUUUUUACGUCGAUAUAUGGGAAGACAAAGAAUAAUUUAACUCUUAGAAUUUUAUUAAAAAAACAAGAAAAAUAAAAAUUUUAAUUGCGUGGAAUAUUCAUGAGUAAUUUGAAAUAUAUAUAUCAAAUUCAUAUAUAACUAUUCAUGAAGGAAUCAUUAAAAUUACCGUUAAAAAACAUAUUAUAUGAAAAGCAUUGUGCUAACAUAUGAUUUCUAGACUACAAUAAUAAUUAUUUUAAUUAAAAAAUAUUUUAGAAUGUAAAAAAAUAAACUAAAAUUUGGGGAAGUGCUAAUCUAGUCAAAGCCCAGGUGAGCAUGGGUUUGAAAAAAUAGCCUACACCUAUGAGCCUAUUUUAUUUAGAAUCGGACAAUACAUCAUCCAUUAAAAAUUUUCUAAUCACAUUCAAUAAUUGAAAAAUCAAGACACAGGAUUUUUACCCCUGAAGCCCAUAAUUUGAUCUCUUUUUCACCCAAAAAUACUAAGGAAACAUAAUAGGAAUCUCCAUGACCCAAUCUCCAGUCUCAACACACAUUUCUAUUGGCAUAAAAAUAAAAAAUAAAAAUAAAAUAUAUUUCAAUAACCAGCCAAUAAAAAAAAUAAUCAAACUAUACAUUAAAAAGGUGUUUGCUUAACGUAUUUAACAUCUUAAAAGCAUGCUCACAACAAAAAAAUCCUAAGAUAAAGUUGUCUACUUUUUCACACCUCCAAGCACUCCUGCUUGGCUUUGAUACAACAACCACCGAAGCCAAGCUUACGUCAUGGACGUCUAAAUGGCAUCAUCAUGACGUGAAACACGGUGUUUAGGUCACUGUAAUCACCAGUAGUGCAAUGGACGGCUAAGAUUCAACUCACCCAUACAGUAUAAUAUAAAAUAUUUAUAUUGCUUGGAGCAAAGCAUGCACCUGAAGAAAUUUUCAUUAUUGGCCCAUAAUGAGAGUGAAGUGAGAUGUACAAGGUCAACUCUGAACAGAUGAAGGCGUGCCCCUUUCAUUAAACGCUUAAGGUUAAUUUGGACAUUUGCUAAUGUUUUCUCUCUCUCAAUAUAUUAGCAUUAUUAGACAGACACUUUCCUUAAACGCUUAAGGUUAAUAAGAGGCUGUUAGCUGAAUAUUUCGGUGGUUGUAUUUUAAAGUGAUUUUUAUUUAAAAAUAUAUUAAAAUAAUAUUUUUUUAUUUUUUAAAAGUUAUUUAUGAUAUCAGCAUAUUAAAAUUAUAUGAAAAAAUUUAAAAAAUAUUAAUUUAAAACAAAAAUAAAAUAAAAUAAAUUUAAAUUUUUUUAAAAUAUUUUUAAAAGGAAAAAGUAAACAGAGUAUUUAACUGUCACGCGGUAAAAUUUAUGUCUUAAGAUACUUUUUGUCUGGAUAAAUCUAGAAAUAAUAUUUUAUUAUUAUUUUCAAAAGAAAUUUUCAAGAAUUAGAGAGUGAAUAGAGAAAAGCUAUUAAAGAGAAUCUCGCCGCUGACUUUACAAUUCAAAUCUUUGCUUUUUUAAAAUGUCACAGACAAAUCUACUGUAAAGCGACUGUGAGGCACAAACUUUAUAUAUACGCGUUUGCUUCUUCCUCUAUCAAACUUAAAAGCGUGUCUCUACGUGUCCAAGUGAACAUCUCUGUCCUACAGGGAAGACUAGACAUUUACCAGUGCUAUUAUUUCUUCAAAUUCAAGCCAGCAUACCCCACUUCAUUUUGACAAAGUGCUACCCUUUUUUUUUUUUUCUUUUAGUUUUUCAAUGCCACUAAAAUUAAUAUUUUUUCCGCGAUGAUUAUAAAAUAAUUGGUCCUGCGUUUAAUAUUAACAAUAAUAUUAUCAAAUAGUUCAAAUGCGAGUAAGGACAGUUUUUGAUCUUCAUGCAUGAAUUAAAAAAAAAUACCUACAUACUUUGAGUUAAUCUUAGUAUAAGUAUAAGGUAUUAAUGUGUUUAUACAUAUUGAAAAACAUAAAAAACAAGUUCAACGUGGCUGCAGUGACAACUAUAUAUAUAUAUAUAUAUAUAUAUAUAUAUAUAUAUAUAUAUAUAUAUAUAUAUUAAAUGCAUGAUAUCUUAAAGAACCAUAUCAAAGAAUCAAAAUAUAAUUUAUAUUAUUUUUUAACACAUCUUCUCAAGUAAAAGUCUUUCGGGCAUGAAACUUGUACAGGUCUACAUUACCAUGUGCUUGAUUUUUAUCAAAUAAAUAAGAGUAGUGAGAUUCGAACUCGUGAUCAUUUGAUCAUUAAAGUUUUAAUACCAUGUUAAAGAACUAUCUCAAUCCAAAAAUUUAAGCGGUUAGAUAAUGUUUUAAUAUAUGAUUUAUAUUAUUCUCUCUAAAAUGAAUAUACAAAUAAUACUUUUUUUUUUACUUUUAAACCCAUGGAUAAUUACGAGUCAAUUACCCACCUCCACGUAGAAUUGUGCGUCCUUUUCAUUUAAAAAAAAAAAAAAAAAACUUCAUUACUCCACUAUCCCUGUGCUGCACCACCCAAGUAGGCAUACAGUUGAUUAAUUUUUACUUUACUUAUGAUCUCUCAAUAUUUGUCUGUUUUCAAUUUUCACGCACAAUGUUCAAGGUAAUGACUAAUCAAAAGCUGGCCAUGGAAAAUAGCAUACACUUACCCUCCUCUCAAAUAUAAGGUAAUUGAACUAAAAAGUGGGCUCUGAAGGCCACUAUUUUUCUGGAGCUAAGUGACUAUUAACCAUUUUAUAAAAUGCAGUGGAACAAGCCACGUUCAGACAAAUAAACCUCAUCAAUGUCCACUUUUUUUUCUUUACCUCCAUGAGAAUAAUAUGAAAACUCCAAGAGCCUCGGAAAACGAGUCAGUGGAGUUAUUUGCAUUCCCCCACAAACAUGCCCUAAAAUAACUUAGACCAAGAAUUCAACAUCACCUUUUUGUAAUAAAAAAUAAAGAAAAAGAAAAAUUAAAUAAAAGAGAAAGAAAGAACCAAAAUAAAUUCACAUUAUAAUAGGAAAUAAAAAAACCCCACUCACGAUGGACCAAAAGCUACAAUCCUGCCUUUAUAUAUGACCCAUCAUGUCCCCCAUGCCCUAUAUCCAUACUUGUUCUAGUCUGUUUUUUUUUUUCCCAGUAGCUUAGCUACUAUUCUAAGGUGUCGCCUCAUUUAAGCUUAGACAUUAAUUCAUAAUAGCUACUUGGAAAAAUUAAUCAUGAUCGGUGGUAACCGGCGGCGGGAGUCCGUCGAUUAUGGUGGUGGCUACAAAGGAAGUGGUGGGUGGUCUUGGUGGCAUCAAGGAGGAGAACAGUUCUUUUGUAAAUAUGGGUGAAACUGAUGGCAAAAGAACACACAAACGAGGCUUUGCAACUGCACUCUCCUGAAUUUCUAGCCUAGUAAAGGGCAGAAUUGGGAGAGUGCAUCGUUGCAUCGUGGGGAAUUGAGGGUAGCGGUCCGAUUUAUCUGAACUUUAGCUCUUUUAUUUUUCAUCCUGUUUCUUUACCAGUUAACGUUAUGCUUUGGGUUUGUUACGCCUUCGUUUGCUCUUUUUGUUUCGUUCUCUUUUCUCUUUUUUCUUUUUUGUUUGCCUUUUUCUGGUUUAUAUUAUAUUAUACAUGGGAUGUAAGAGAUGCAUACGAGGUAGCUUGCUAGUUUGUUAAGGCAUGUCUUGAUAAUCUGGUCUUGAAUUAGGGUAUGGAAAUGCUGCUGGGCAUGCAUCACUUACACCUAUCAUGUACUAUUUGCUUUGUUAUGGAUCGGGGAUAAAAGAGAAAGACUUGGUUUGCUACUUUGUGUUUUUGUUUAAUUACUAUCAAGUAUCUCCACCUCGCUUGCUUUACUGAUUUGUACUAGCCUGAGACUUGGUGAAAUUCCACGCUUUCGUUUCCUGACUCUGGCUUUUUCGUGUAUUCUGGAUCACUUUGAUUAUGAUCUUAAUUUCACUAAUAAGCAACAUGCAUUGAAUCUUGAGUAAUAAGAAGCAGUAUAGAAUUGCUUUGAAUUGUCCCUUUCAACUUCAUAAUAUGGCACCGUAUUUUCCACACGGAAUUGCGAGUUUCUUUUUAUACAAAUCGAAAGAAUUCUAACAAGUUGAUACAGGCAUUCCCCCAACAGGUCG